rnacentral:lncRNA from 1 species
AAACUUUGUGAAGGAAAUCUCCAUAUGCUUUAUUUUUAAUGUAAGAAUCAGAACUAGAGCCGUUAGUUCCAAACACAAUCUUAGGCUUGGAAGGUAGGCAAACUCUAUCGUAGCAUUGUCUCAACUCCAAAUCCUGCAAAUCACAGAAAUUAUUCAAGCGUAUGUAAUACAGUGUGUCUAUUGAUAAAGAAGAAGGAUCAAAAUUAGAUUGACAAACCUGAAGCACUUGAGUGGCAGCACUAUACCAGGAUGUGGUGCUGGGAAACCAGAAAACAUCCUGCGGUGAUUGUCCUUUAGAGAACAAUUUUAUUUUAUCAUAGUCUACGCUAGCCAACAAGUUCUCUCCGUUCACUGGAUAAUUAAACUCGCCAAAGUUCAGCGUCCCUUCAUCUGACCCGAAUUUCUGCGCCAUUGUAAAAAUUAAAGCUGGUUACGUAUAAGAUGUGUGUGUCUUAUAAUUAACAUACAACUUAAACCCAGAAAAUUAAAUUAAAUUUCUUUCAAGUCAUCCAAAUAUAUAGGGUAGUUAUAUAUUUUUUUUUCAUGGAAAAUGCUCCAUGGUAAAUUCCAGAACCAAAUAUUAUGUCCUCGAUCACCAUUGUUCACAGAGUGUGUGUGUGUGUGUGUGUCUAUAUAUAUAUAUAUAUAUAAAAUUACCUUCCAAUUCCAAGCUCCUGUGAAAGCAACAGCAAGCGGCACGGAAACAUCACCUGGCACUAUACUUUCUUUAUCAAGGCUCCCAGCACUACCAAAGUGAAUAAUUCCAUGAAUACGGAAUCUAUUCAAGAGGAUUUGCACAGCAAUGGCAGCAUUUACCUAAGUUUGGUUGCAGUUAGCAAUGGACAGCAACAGUGUAAUAUAUUGAAUAUUUAAAUAGUGCAAUGAAGAAACAAAGAUUAUAAAGAAACGAGGAAUCUUACAGAAUUUCCCCCGAUCUUAACAUAUACAAUAUAACGAGCAUUAAGUGUCCCAAUGUGGAACCUUCUCCCCGCAAUGUCAACAUAAGGCGUUUCAGCAUCAGGUGUGAAGAGACCAGAGUCUUGAAGGGCCUUUUCGUUGUUACCAGAAGUUAACACAAGCCCUAAACGAGUGAAAUCAAUUUUGCAAUUGUUUGUCUCAGCAACAGGGUUUCUCAAACUCAUUUGGAAGGACUGCUGAGCCAAAACCAGCAGCCCAACCACCAUCACUACCAAGUUAACGCUCGACAUUCUAGAGAUCUGAGGCGAGAGAGACGUUGUUUAGAGCAAUGCAAGUGUUUUGUGGUAUUCUGGUGUUGCUCAUGUGACUUUAUAUAGAGAUCAUCUAGCGAAACGGCCAAUUUCUUUUUUUUUUUAAUAUAUUGUUGACAUGAAAUAUUAAAUCUUUCAUAUCCAUUCAUUUCUUGAGGAUCCUAUCACCUCAAAAAAAAAAAAAAAAUGUGGCAAAACUUGAAAGUGAGACGUUAAGCUAGAAUUCAAGUGAAGACAAAACUUUUUAAUGUAAUUACUUGAAAGCCCUUCCACUAUCAGAAAAUCGGCGAAAACCAACGGAAUUACCAGCAGAAUUUUUUCAUCGGUAAUUUUUACCGAUGGAAAUAAUUCCAUCUCAACAUCUGUCGGUAUAUACCGACAGAAAAUAUCCGUCGGCGAUACGGUCAGUCUAUACCGACGAAAUAAGUUCGUUGGUAUAUACCAACCGUAUCACCGACAGAUUAUAUAGUUUUUUGGAAUGUUGCAACGGUGUGAUGACGUGGAUUUUUUUUCAGACGCUUAUACCGACGGAAUGACCGAGGGAUUCAAACCUGGAUCUCCGUAUAGUGACGUGGCACAUUCACCGGUGGAAUCACCGACGGGUAUACCGAUGGAAGGUGUCCGUCGGUGAUUCCAUCGGUAAAAGCCAAUAUAUACCCUCUGCCGACACUCUCUUCCUCUAUUUCUCCUUCUUCUUCCCCAUCCCACCUCUCCCCUCCCAAACUGCAGCUAACCACCCAUCCCAACUCUCCCCCUCUUCUCAACACAAGCACUCAAGUUUCUUAUACUUUCGUACGUGGUCACAACAUCCGUUCUUGUGGAUUUUAUCAUUUUUUGUAAGUAAAUAUAUCCUUUUUAGUUUUAACAUUUAAUUGUGAAUUUUAUUACUUUUUUAGUAUAUGUAUUUUGUUAACGUAUGUACUUGUUUGAUUGUUAUUUGUCAAAGAAACUUGUAUUAAGAAUGUAUAAUUUUGUAGUUGUUAUAGUUUGUUUUAGAUUUUGUUAAAUUAUAUUUGUUUGUAAAUUGUUGAAACUUUGUUUGAAUUACACCGAAUUAGAUGUGUUGUGAUGAAAUAAAUAAUAGUUUGUUUAACGGGUCCAUUUUAAUUGUUAUCAAUUCUAUUGCGAAGUUGUGAUUUCCGUAAAUUUAUAUAUGUAUAAAUUUGUAUGGAUGUUGAUAGUUGAUAGUUGAUAAUUGAUAAUGAAUAUUUAACAUAAGUGUUUUUUUAGUUUGUUGGAUAAUGUCGGGGUAAACCAAUAUUUUUGUUAUGUUUAUUUACGCAACGUAGUUAAUUAAUACAUGUUGUCGUCAUAAUUUUAUAGAGGUUCGAUAGAAGUCAUGAAUGAUCAUUCAUGGAUGUAUCGGGACUCACCCCAAGGAUUGCGGAGGAUGGAUUAUUGUAACGGGGUUUAGGGUUUUAUUAAUUUCACAACAUUUAUCCCGAGGAAUUUUACUGAUGGCGGUAUUAGGUGUCCAUGCAGGAAGUGUAAAAAUAAAAAGUUUCUGCAUCAAGAUGUUGUAACAAUACAUCUUCUAACUAAAGGGUUCAUGGAGGAUUACCUGUGUUGGUAUGCACACAGAUAACUAUUUGUCCCUAAUGAGAGCAUGGUAGAAAGGGUGGUUCGGUCAACUUCUAGUGCUAGCAACAUACAUGAAGUUGGAAAUGACAGCAGUAAUCCUUACAGGAAUAUGGUUAUAGAUGCAAUGAGAAUGAGUGAAGGUAAUGUCAGAGAAUGUCCAAUCGUAGAAAAAGAACCUAAUGCAGAUGCAGCAAGGUUUUUUGAUCUAUUGAAAGAUUCUGACGAACCAUUAUGGGAUGGCUACACAAACCACAAAAAAUUAUCGGUCAUAACACAUGUGUUCACCAUCAAGUUAGAUCACGAGUUGAGUGAGGCCGGUUAUGACAAGAUUAUCGAAUGGGCGAGAAGUAUUUUACCUGAGGGGAACAGGCUGAAAGAGAACUUCUAUGCUGCCAAGUCCAUGAUGAAACCCUUCGGUUUAGGAUACCAGAAAAUUGACAUGUGCCCUAACUUCUGCAUGUUAUACUACUUUGAAAAUACUGAGCUGAUCGAGUGCAUGACAUGUGGGCAUUCCCGUUACAAACCCAGAACUGGCAGCGGAAAGACUCUCGUAGCAUAUAAAAAACUUAGAUACUUCCCAAUCACACUUAAACUGCAAAGGUUAUUCAUGUCACCAAGGACCGCUGAGCACAUAACAUGACACCAAUCACAUCAUACGGUUGAUGGAGUGAUGGUGCAUCCUUCUAACGGCAAAGCAUGGAAACACUUUAACAGUGUGCAUCCCCACUUUCAGCUGAAUCAAGGAACGUGCGUCUUGGGUUAUGUACAGACGGAUUCAACCUAUUCAGGUCAUUUGCUGCUCCUUAUUCUUGUUGGCCGGUCAUACUGAUGGUUUAUAACUUGCCACCGGGGAUGUGUUUGAGGCCGGAGUUCAUGUUUUUAUCUAUGGUCAUACCAGGUCCAAGCAAUCCGAGGCGGAAUAUAGAUGUUUGUCUUCGACCAUUGAAUGAUGAGUUGACGCAGUUGUGGUCCUCUGGAGCUUUGACUUAUGAUAUCUCGAGGAAACAUAAUUUUGUUAUGAGAGCGACUUUGAUAUGGACUAUCAAUGAUUUCCCAGCUUAUGGAAUGAUUUCUGGUUGGAGCACACAUGGAAAACUAGGAUGUCCAUACUGUACGGAGAAUAACAAGGCAUUCACGCUAACAAACGGGGGUAAAGCUUUUUUUUUUACUGUCACCGUCAUAUCUUGCCAUCGAAUCACAGGUACAGAAAGAACAAAAAUGAUUUCUUUGUUCGCAGAGUUGAAUAGGAUGUUGCACCCCCACAUCUUUCUGGUGAAGAAUUGCAUGAUGUUGUGUCAGAGUACGGUGACAUUGUGUUUGGUCUCCAGUCAGGUAAGCAGAAGUUUUCUAGUUUUGGUUUGACCCAUAAUUGGGUGAAGCAAAGUAUCUUUUGUGUGCUUCCUUAUUGGAAUACCAAUCUUCUCCACCAUAACCUUGAUGUCAUGCACAUUGAAAAGAAUGUGUUUGAGAACAUUUUCAACACCGUCAUGGAUGUGAAGGGGAAGACAAAGGACAACAUCAAGGCUAGAUUGGAUGUAGCGUUGUUCUGUAACCGUAAAAAUAUGGAGUUGGUUUGUGAUGGGUCACGGGUUGCAAAACCAAGAGCAAACUUCGUGUUAGAGAAAAAAGCACAACUACUAGUCUACAAAUGGCUUAAGAGUCUGCGUUUCCUCGAUGGACAUGCCUCGAACAUAUCAAGUUGGUUAAUACGGAGGAAUGCUGAUUAUUUAGAAUGAAGAGUCAUGACUGCCAUGUGUUUAUGCAAACACUCAUCCCAUUAGCUUUUCGUGAUUUGUUGCCAAAAAGGAUAUGGGAUGCACUCACGGAGAUCAGUCAUUUCUUCAGAGAUAUAUGCUCCAGCAAGUUGAAUGUUGAUCACAUUGAAAGGCUUGAAACGAAUAUUGUCGAGACAAUAUGCAAACUUGAGAUGAUAUUCCCUCCAUUAUUUUUUGACUCAAUAGAGCAUCUACCCGUACAUUUACCGUUUAAGGUAAAAGUUGGAGGACCAGUCCAGUACAGAUGGAUGUAUCCAUUCGAGAGGUUAGAUAUUACAGUUGCUAUGUAAUUCAUAAUUAAACGUUUUUUAAUUUUUUUUAAUUGAUAAUUUUUUAUUAAUUCUAUAUAUGCAGGUACUUGUUCAAUCUUAAAAAAAAAAGUUAAGAACAAGGUGCAUGUUGAGGCGUCAAUAUGUGAGGCCUAUAUUAUUGAGGAGAUCUCAACAUUUAUCUCAUACUAUUUCGAACCUCAUUUGAGAACGAGGAUCAAUCGUGUUCCACGGCAUGAUGAUGGUGGUGAAGUGCCUUCAAGUGGGAACUUGUCAAUAUUCUCCAAUCCUGGACGACCCCCACCUAAAAAUGCCGUAAGGGGAAGAUAUUUUUCUGAAAUAGAGUUCAGACAAGCACACAAUUAUGUCCUAUUUAACUGCGAUGAACUGAGACCUUUUAUUAAGUAAGUAGAUGUUUGACUUAAACUUUGUCAAGAGUGUACUAUUUAUACAUUGUGAUACCAUAAACUAAUAUAAUUUGGAACAACCUUGCAGGCAACAUCGACGAUACUUACUAUCCAAUAACUCACAGCUGAUCGAAUCCCAGAUCUUUCAAUUACAAGAUGAACAAUUUGCCACGUGGUUUAGAACACAUGUAAGUCCUAUCACAAACUCAUUAUCUCUUGCAAUGUAAUUAACUGUACGUCAAUAUUACAGAAUAUCCGUUUAUUGAUUAUUGUUGUAUUUGAUAUACAAGGUUUACCAAAUGAGAGGUAGUGCUGCUAUUUCACUGUCUUUACUAAGCCUGGGCCCUGAAAGAAAAGUUAAGUGCUAUAACAUGUAUUUUGUCAAUGGAUAUGUCUUUCAUACUGAAGAAUACGGGCAUGGAAGAAAGACGACAACGGUGUUUGUAUUAAGGGAUCAACUUCUAGUGAGUUUGAAGUUGACUACUACGGUAGAUUAGAAGAGGUCAUCGAAUUGCAAUAUCAUAGCGAGCAGAAUAGAGUGUUUUUAUUCAAAUGCUAUUGGUAUGACAUAACUGACAGAGGAAUCAGAGUAGAUCCUCACUAUGGUCUCGUUGAAAUCAACUUAAAAGCUAGACACCGCAACGUAAACGACGUCUUUGUUUUCGCAAAGCAACGCCAACAAGUUUAUUACACAUACACCCAUUCCUUUAGAAAUGAUCGAUCAAGAGUUGAUUGGUUAUCCGUUUUAAAAACCAAACCUAGGCAAAUCCAAUGCGCGCGUGCUCUGAUGCACAAUUACCGACGGAUUUGCUGACGGACGUCGAAAAAUAUGGAGGGAUUUUCAAAAUUUUUGGUGCGAACAUCAAUUAAAUACCGACGGCAAAUUACCGACAGAAUUUAAUGCCAGCCUAAAAAAAUAUUAUUCUAUUUUCCGUUGGUAAUUCCGUCGGAAAAAUUAUUGUAUAAAACCCUCCCCCCCCCCUCCAUGAUUCAUUUUUGCUCCGCUCCUCAUUUCAUCUUCUCUUCUCUUCUCCUCUCUGUUUGUAUUAAGUUUUUGCAAGAGUUUUUAUUGUUUUUGUUGGUAGUUUUCAACAUAUUAAAAGGUAUGUAUUCUUCUUUCUUUAUCUUUGUAUUUUUUUACUUUUUUUUUAUUUUAAUUAUGUUUAUUUGUGUGGUGUUCUUUGUUUUGUGUAUUGUUUGUGGAUAAAAUCUUGAAAUCAACAUACUAUUAAGGUAACAUUUUUCAUUCCUAAAUUUAUUUUGAAUUUAUGUAGUGUUCUUUAGUUUUGUGUAGUGUUAUUUAGUUUUUUCUUUUAAUUUGUUAAAUUUAUUUUAUUGUUUGUAUUGCCAUAAUACCUUGAAAAUUUUGUUAAAUUUUAAAUGUUAUUGUUGAAUUUACCUUUAAAAUGUUAAUUGAAAUAUAUAAUUAAAUUUAAUUGGUUUAUCUUAAUUUUAUGAUAUUAUUGUUUCUUAUGUUUUUAAUUAUUUUGAUUAAUUUUAAUUGUUAUUUAUGAAUUUGUAUUGAUGUUAGUUGAAAAUAUAUAGAUGUUGAAUUUCUAUAAAUGUUAGGUUGUAUUGAGUUGAUUUUGCAAUAUUUGUGUAAUUAUCAAUAUUUAUAGGUAUGAAGUAUGAAAAUUGUGGGUAGUCUCUAAUAUAGGGGAGGUGCUGAUGAAUAUUUUUAAAUAAUUGAAUUUAAUUAUUUCAUUAUUCAUAUAAAUUUGUGUAGAUGUGUUGAAUGAAAAUUUAAUUAUUUUAUUGUUUGUAUUGUAAUAAUUAUUUGAUAAUUUUAUUCUAUUAUUGAUUGUUAUGUUUUUUUUAUUAUUUCCAUCAAUUUUAAUUGUCAUUUAUGCAUUUCUAUAGAUGUUAGUUGAAAAUAUAUAGAUGUUAGGUUGUAUAUAAGAUAUUCCAAUGGAGUCAAUUGGGUUGUGGUUAUUGUAAAGAUUUGCAGGUUUGAAAAUUGUGGGUAGUCUCCAGUAUAGGGAAGGUGCUGCUGAAUUUUUUUAAAUACUCAAAGUUAAUUAUGUAAUUAUUCAUAUAAAUUUAUAUAGAUGCGUAGAAUGAAAUCUACAGCACGUUGUCAGCAGACGGUUGUAGCUAGUUCUUCUAGCAGCGAGGAGGACGUAUCCUUAGGUGCUGAUUACGGCGAGGAAGUUGCGCCAACUUGUGAUGCUGCCUCUUCUAGCGCAGUUUCACAGCGCAGAGACGGUGUGCCUUCACAGCGGGGUCAAUUCACCAGUAAGUACCAGGCACAAUGGAAGGAUGACCUUUCAAUGUCAGUUUGUUUAGGUUUUAGUUUUUUUAUAUACUUAUAACAUAAUUUAUGAACAACUAAUUAAUAUUUUAUUAAUUUUAUUUAAUUUCAGGUUCACAAACAUUGAGGCUGGCCGAACAAUAACAUCGGCGUUUAAAUCAUCGAUGGAGAUUCCAUUGUUUCAAUGGAGUCAGGUUUCCAGACAUCCUGAGUGGAGACCUAAUAUCGAUGCAUGGUUUCGACGAUUUCAGGUAGGUGUUAACUUUUAAUUUCCAGGUUAUUUUUAAUAAAUUAUUUUUAUAAUUUUAUAUCUUGUACUAUUUUUAUUUUAAAUGAAUUAUUUAUAUACACAACAUAAAUUUGAGUGGGACAACGCGAACAACAAUGUUGUGAGAAGGGUAUGAGAGAAUCACGCGGCAACUAGGUAACAUCGAAAAUAAUAUUUAUUUUUGUUUUAUAAUUUUAUGUUCUAAAUUCUAAUUUGUUACUAUGGAAGUAGGUUGCAUGAUUUUUGGUACGAUACCAAAAAAAAAGCAAAAAGAUACGCGAGGGAUAACGGUCUUGAAGGAUGGAAUGAGGUGGCGGUUUGGCAGGAAUUCAAACCGCUAUUCAUCUCGAGGGAUUUAUGAACGGCAUAUAUUGAGCACGUGACGUCUGAGCGGUUCACACGACGCUAACAUUCUGGUGCCGACAACCAGAACCGGCAAAUUCAUGGUUCGGUGACCACACACACCGGUGGCUCCGUCCUGUUCAGCGCACAUGCGAAGCGGAUGGUAAGAUUAAUUUAAAUGAAAUAUAUCAUUAAUUAAUUUGUUGUUGCUUAUAAAUAUAUUUAACUUGCAACCUUUUUUUCCUUACAGGCUACGUCUCUUAGACGUGAGCCGAGUCCAAUGGAUCUAUUUGUAGAGAUGCACGUGCGAAGUCAAGACCGCCAAAAGGGGGUGCAACAGUUCGUGGACAACCGUGCUCAGCACUUCGUGGUAUGUUCGUUCAAUCAUUUUGUUUCGUAACUUAUUAUUUUCUUGAAUUGAAUAUGAUGAUUUUUUUUAAAAAAAUUCAGGAGACCUAUAAUAGCCGGUUGAGGGAGAGAUAUGGGGACGAUCCUUCGACCUAUCCGGAUUUCGAUCUGGAUUUGUGGAUGGAGGUAGGAUUAUUUGGUGGACCCGAUAAAAAUCGGGUCUACGGGCUCUCCAACACUAGGGCCAAAAACUUGCGGUCGGCCUGUAGUGUCUCAACCGUUGGGAGCUCUCCAUCAGUAUUGAGCACCCAGUUUGAGGAGUUCGUGGCCUUGAAACAAUAAUAUAAACGACUCUCGAUAGAUUAUGAUCAGCUCCGUCAAAUGGUCAUGGAGAUGAGAUCAAGGAUGGAUGAUGAUACAUGUGCAACCCCUUCUUGGCCACACGGUCCCGGGAACAACCAACCUCCUCCUCCUUCUCCAGCUUCUCCGUUAUUCUAGUUUAAUUUUGUUUUUGAAACACAUUAAAUUUAUAAUGAAUAUUUGGAUGAAUAUUAUUUAACAUUAUUUCUUUAUUUUUAAUGUUUAAUACAAUUUUAUUUGGUUAUUUAGUUUUUUUACUAUUAAUAAAUAAUUUUUUAAAAAAUAUUUUAAAUAUAUACCGACGAAUUUCCAGACGGAACCAGGCUGUCAAUAUUUUACCGAGAGUUACAAAACAAUUACCACCCAUGCCACAAUUACCGCCGGAUACAUUCUGUCGGUGAUUACCAUUACUAUUAUCGACGGAUAUAUUCCGUUGGUAUUUGACAGAGAGUUCUGAGAUAUUUACCACCCAUGCCACAAUCACCGACAGAUAUUUCGUCGGUGAUUACCAUUGAAAAGACAGACGAAAUUAUUCCGUCGGUAAAGUUCUCGCGGGAAAUUGUUUUUUGGCGCACUUCACCGUCUAUAAUACCGUCGGUGUUUGGUUUUUUAUUACCGACAGAAAUAGCGAUGGAAUGAGAAAUUACCGACGAUAAAAUUUUUACCUACGGUCAGCGCGCCUCACACCGACGGAAUGAAUCCGUCGGUAAAACUGUUUAAUGGUGUAGUGUUCAUUAUGCAUGGUAUGGAGCAAUUAUGGGUGUACUGCUCUUUCCAUGAUCAUGCAAGAUCCUAACAAUCAUCAAAUAAGUUAAACAUCUUUUUCGUCAUGUUGUAACAUUUUUUAGCAAUAGAAGUUGAUACAUGUUGAAGCUAAAUAUAAUAAUUUAAAAAAAACAUAUUUUUAUUAGCGAAAAGGACAUGUAGAUAUGAGUUACAAAUUCAUAAGCUUAUCCUCUCUAAAUAAUAAUAAUGAAAUUUAUCAUUUUAGAAGGUUUAUAAAGUUUUAAAUAAGUCAGAAACCCUACCAUAAGUAGGGAUAAAAAAUAAAAAUAUGAAAUUACAAAGGAAAAAAACAUAAAAUCCAAACAUAACCUGAAAUCUAAAAAUAACAAGGAAAAAUCACAAAAACUAUCAAAACCAGAGGUGAUCUCGACGAGAUUUUUGAUAUCUGAAGAUCCGAUGGUCCGUAUAGCAAUAUAGUAUUAUUAUAUGAAAAACAACCUCUGAAAACUCCUAUAAAAUUUUGAGCAUAAUCCAACGGCCGAAUAAAAAGUCUAACCCUUUUGAGCUGUUAUCCUAGUCUGGUGUGAUCAGACCUCUUUUUAGACCUAAACCUGUCCCAUCGAUCCAUAAAUGCAUCUACUAUGCCACUCGCAUGAUCUAUCUGGGGCAAAUUCUCAUCUAGUUGUGGUAAACCUGCACCUAACUACUCAAAAUUACCUGUUAGCUUGACUGCAUCAGAAGUUUUUUGUAAAGAACUUGCUUUCAAAGCAGAUAUAUUAUCUUAGAAAAGCAAGUUGAAAUCAAUUAUAAGGGAAGCAUGUAUUCUUAUAUUUCCCUUAUAAUUUGCUAAGAGGAUGCUCGCCUUAUAGGCAAGCCAAAUCCUAAAUAACAAAACUUCACCGCCAGACAAUUGAAAAACAUCGAUGGAAUAUUCUUUCGGUGAGUAAACUUUAUUUUUUCAGCCAUUUACAUUGUUGAUGGACUUACCGAUAGAAACACGUUGUAGAAAUUAUUUUUUUCAGGGAUUUGCUAUCCAUUGGCAUUUAUGUUGGUAAUUUGUAAUGCCAACGAAACAUUGGUGCCAAAAAAUAAAAUGCACCAACCAACUUUCAUUAGUCAUUGUGUCACUAAAUAAAUUAUUGAUGAAAUGUUUUAUCGCCUAUUCCAUCAGCAAUAUUUAGUUUUUUCCAAUGAAAUAGGCGACGAUAUUGGUGACAUAAUGUCCAUCGCUAAUUCCAUCGAAAAACUUUAUGAUGAAAUAGUACCUAUAUUUCUAAUGGAAUCAUUGAUGGACAAAAACAUUUGUUAGUGAUUCCGGUUGAAGUUUAAUAUAUAUAUUUUUAGUUAUGUAGUUGUUAAUUUGAAAAACAAAAAAAAAUCACAAUAAAACCAAACACUACCAAUUUUAUUGAGCAUCAAUUUUUUUUAUUUCAAUAUUCAUUAAAAAAUAAUUUGACAACAAUACAUACAUUGCUACACAGAUGAAGGUGGAGGUAAGGGGGGGGGGAAUCCUGAUUAAAAGGAUUGGAAUGAGGAGUGGGAUAAUAUAAAGCCAUGUAUUCCCGCUACCACAAUCUUUAGAUUUAUCGACAGAAUUUUCCAUUGGUAUUUGUACUAUCAUCCCGUUGGUAAUUAAUUUACCAACGAAAUCACCGACGGAAAUGCUUUGUCUGUGAAUCUUUCGUCGGUAAUUUUUUGGCCGUUGGUAAUAAAAAAAAUAUUAUUACCGAUGGAUGUACUGACAAAAAAGGCGUGCAAAAAAAAAAUUAUCCACUUCAUUCCAUCAGUAUUUCCCUCGGAAAAAUACCGUAUGUAAUUCCGUCGGUAAUUAUUUAAAAAUAUUUUUUUUAACAAAUCCAUUUUACAAAACUAUAAAAUAAUUAAAUUAAUAUAAAUCAACACUCUAUAAUACUCAAAACGCUUGGAAAAAAGAAGAAGAAAAUCAUAUGAAAAAAAAUCCUACAACAAUAUUCAUACAAUUAUUAAGAACAAAAACAAUUAAAAAUAAAAUAAAAUAACACGAAAAAAGAAAAAUAUUACCUUAAUGUGGUUGCAAGUGAAACUAAGAAGAGAAAAAAAAAAUUCAUAAAGUAUAUUAAUUAAAAAAAAACUAAGAAGAAGAAAGGAGAAGAAUAAAUACCUGAGCAUGGAGGAGAAGAGAAGGAGUUGAGGAGAGAAGAGAAGAGAAAGAAAUGGAUAUUGAUGUUUUUUACAUAUGGGGAAGACGAAGAAGAAGAAGAAGAAGAAAAGAGCCCCGUCUGUUGUGAAAUUAGGAAUUCUAGGCUUUUUAUUGGGCGUUUUACAGAUGGAUAAUUAAAUAUUAAUAUUUUUAAUCAUUCCGUCGGUGAUUCCGUAAGUAAUAAUUAAUUUAAAUUUUCAAUUUAAUCAAAAAUUUCCAGAAACCGCCAAAUAUCACCGACAACUUUUAAAUCCGGCGGUGAUUUCGUCUAUCAUAUUUACUUUAAAAUUUUAAUUUAAUCAAAAUUUUUCAGAAAACCGCCAAAUAACACCGACGACUUUUCAAUCCGUCGGUGAUUUUGUCUAUAAAGAACAGUAAUUAACAGUGCAAUUGGGAAGUGAACAUUUCCAGAGCUCUCUGGAAAAUACUGACAGAAUUUUUUGUUGGUGAUUCUUUUUGUAAUUGUCAUGAUGAACAAUGUUCAUAGUUUACCAACGAAUUUACCGAUGGAUUUUACCGAUAGAAUAAAUUCCGUCGGUAAUUUUGUUGGUAAAAAUGGCACGUCAUUGUUUUUUUGCUUUGUUGUAAUUAUUAUUUUUUCCGCCGUAAUUCCCUCGGUAAAUAUCGAGAGAGUAUUUCCAUCGGUAGAAUUCGUCGGCAAUUUACCAACAAAAAUAUUCUCUCGAUAUUUCCGUUUGUAUUUAUCAAUUUUCUGGUAGUGUCCAUCAUUUUCUCUCAAUUCCUUCUAUUUUGUUCUUCUAAUUUUGCUACUCGUUCCUCAACCUGUCAUAAGACCCUUGCUUGAAAUUCUAACAUCGACUAACUUGGGUUAGACUAUUAUGUGUCUAGAGUUGAAGCAGUACAACAUGAUGUUAUUUCUCUAGUUGAUGCCAUUUGCAUCCUAUAAACUCGAUUCUUAUCUGGUCUAUUAAUUGCUCUCUAACUUCCAACCCACAAUUGAGGAUUGUGAGUAGGAUGCGUGGAAAUGUCUCCUCCAUGUUUUUCAAACAUUAUAGUAUUAUAUGUUUCCUACAAAACAAAACUUAAUUAUAAUUAAAAGAAUUAUAAAAUUACAAGAAUUUAUUUAUUUUUUUUUUUAAAAAAACUUACAAUGAAUGCCUUAGUUCUAGCUGCUAUCCACUAAUUUCUUCACCCUUUUCCCCUAUCCGACACUUUUAUUAUAUAAGUUUUCUUACAUAACUCCAUUGGAGAAUAGGCUCAAGCCUAAACUAUUGUUCCAACAAAAUAAAUAUAAAUAAUUAUUUGCCUAAUCAACUCAUUCCUAACAAAAGGAUUAGUUGCUCGAGGAAUGAAAUACAAUAAGCCAAAGUUUUAAUUCGAUUAUUAUGAGCAAAAAUGGAUCUAACUAGGGAAGCAAGAAAGCUAAGCUAGAUAUGGACACUAAAUGUCAGGAACCGAGUUGUUUUGCUUGGACACAUGAAAACAAGUUGAUAAACUUUUGUAAAUGUUCAUGAAAUCGAGAAGAUAUACAUUGUCAUAAUAGUGCUCCAACUAUUAGUGAAUAUCUUGAGAAACAUAAUACAUUUAUUUUUGUAACAUUAAUUUUGGUUUUAACAUAUUAAAUUAUGAUUUAAUGUUUUAUACUACCUUUAAUUUAGUUCAAGCCUUGAAUGUUAGCAUAACAUAAAGGUUUAAACUUAACAAAGUACUUUUAAAACGUGAACUUAAACAAAUUAAUGUCUACAUGCGAAAUAGGGAAAUGUAAUAGAAAUAGGGAACAUAAGGUUUCUAGCUAGCUUGUAAAACUAAUAGAACAAUUAAUGUUGUCGAAUUUUUCUAGGUUACGAAGAGUUACUCUCUUGAUUUUGAAAAUUAUAAUUAAAAUAAAAACUAUUUGUAAUUAAUUAAAGGAUCUAUUUAUUAUAAUUCUACUAUAAAUAUAAGUGUUCACGAGAUAAUAUAUCACCACCUUUUUCUUUAAAUUGUCAAUCUUAAUUCUUAGGUUCGCUUUGGUGAUCUAGAGGUAUAUUUUCCUUGAAUCUUUCAACAAAUUCAAAAUGGUGGAGGACAAAUAAUAUUUCCAUUGAACGCUUUGGUGAUUUAUUUACAUUAAAGCUUCUUGUUCAAUCCCAUAUUCCCCAUAUAUAAAUAAAUUCAUAAUAGAAAUGAAAUAUAAUAUAUUAUAAUAAUUAAUUAGUUAUUAUAUAAGCUUUUAAAACAAUAAAAAAGUAAAAAUAUGGGUGAGAAUUAUAAUAGAAAGAAUAAAAAACAGAACAUUUUUUUUAAUAUAUAAAAUGGAUUUAUUUUUUCAAAUUUUAGAGAGAGAAAAAGUUCAUCUAAUAAAAAACAUUUUUUGUUGAUUUAUUUUUGAAAACAAAUCACCAAACAUAGUGACCAACCAAUAACUUGUCCUUAAACCAAACAUGUUCUGUAAAUAUUUUAUUAAGAUUUACAGGUUAAAUAAUGCAAAAGAAAUAUUCACGUGAGUGAAACCCUAAGUUGGUAUAUCAAUUUUAUAAUCUGAUCAUGAUAUAAGGAUAACCUCGUCAAAAAUAAACUAAAUAAAAUUAUAAAAUUCAUUCAUUAAAUAACCUAAUGUUAAAGGGUAGAAUUGAAAAAAAAUUAAUUAAAAAGAGAAAUAAAAAAAAUUGAGUCAGCUUGGAUUAACCCGUUAUCCCUGCGACUAUAGACAUAAGAUUGAGAUAAUCUUAUUGGUGAUACCGAGAGAGGGAAAGUGUUGCCUUUGAGAUUGGGUGAAGAAAUCCAAAAUCAAGGACCAAACUGAAAAAAUAGUUGUGAAUGCAGGGUUUGAAAUUGAUCAAAUUAAAAAAAAAGCACGAACAUCAAUUUCUAAUAAAUCUAAUGUUAAAUAAUGAAAUUGAAAAAAAAAUCAAUUUUAAAAAUAAACUUAUAAAAACAAGUUAACUCGUGUUAACCUUUUAAACCUGUGAUCUUGGUUAUGAGAUCAGAACUAACCUCAUACAAAGCAAACCCUAAAAAAUAACUAAUCAAAAUUCUUAAUCAUCUAAAUGUUAAGGGAUAAAAUAUAAAAAAAUACAAUAAAUAAAUUAUCCAAAACAAAAUAAAUAAAAAUUAAAAAAAUAAGGACCAAAUUUGAUAUAAAAAUUAAAUAAAACUAAAUGACAAGGGGUGAAAUUGAAGAAAGAAUCAAUAAUAAUAAAAAUAAUAAAAAAAAAUAAAGACCGCAUUGAAAACAAAAAAAAAUAAAUUAAAUGAUACAUUUAUAUUUUAACAAAGGAAAAAUAAAAAAAAGAGAGUGAAGAAAAAAAAACACAUCUAGAAACGCUACCAUUAACUUGCAAAUCAUCAUUGAAAAGAAAACAUAAGAUAUUUCAAACAUCAUCCCAAAAAACAGCAAUACUGAUAUUAUAUAAUGGAUUUUUUGAAAAGAACAUUUUACCUAAUAUUAUUAAAAAAAAAUUCAAUUAUAUUAUUGUGGUGAAUAAUACCAUGCAAUUAUGAAUUCUUCAUGUGUUUUUUUUUUUUUUUGUAAUUUAUAAAUUAAGAAUUUGAAGAUGUAGGUCAUAGAUUUUUGUACUGUGUAUAACACUAUCUUAUCCACAAUCCACGUGGCACCCAUAUGAACCCUUUAUUCGUUUUCCAUUAAAUGCGUGAUAUAUAUUGUCUGAACUAAGGAAUCUUUUCCAUGCCUUCCAAAGACUUUUUUUUAAAAAAAAAAACAGUUAAAGUAAUGAACGAGAGUCUAACACCUGUUUGUUCAUGGGAUAAUGUGACUCGUUAUUUCUCCUACACUAAACACACGUUUUAUAAAUAGUUGAUGAAGACGACAGAAUGGGCCUGCGCUGCCCAGCUUAUCAAUUAUCAAGGACAGCGCCCUAAAUAAUUUUUUUUUAAAGUUCGCACUGUUUUAAAAAAAUCAGUAAAAUAAUACCAUUAGAAUUUUUUUUUGAAUAAAAUAACAUUAUUUUGUGGUUGAGAAUAACGAUUUUUACAAAGUCGCAAUUGAAAAUAGUGAUUUCUAAAUAAAAUUGUUAAACUUGCUAUUCUCAACAAGGUUUUGGAAAUCCUUUUGAAAACAUUUAAAAAAAAUUAUUUUUUUAUAUUUUAAAUUAAUAUGUUUUUAAUGUUUUCAAAUUAUUUUGAUAUGUUAAUGUCAAAAUAAUUUUUAAAAAAUAAAAAAAAAUAUGAUUUUAAUGUGUUUUGGAAUGAAAAACACUUUGAAAAGCAACCGCUGCCACACUUUCAAACACUCUCAUAUUAAACAUGUUAUUUUUCCAAAUGUUUUUCUAAAGGAAGUAGUGUUUCAUUUAAGAGUUAAUUCCUAAUUUUUUAUACUGGAAUAUUUUAGACUCUUGUUUUGACCUUAAUUUUUAGAAAAAACUAAAAUAGAUAGAGGUUAUACUAUGCAGAAUUCAUUGUACAUACACUCAUAAAUCACUUAGUGAUUUUUUUCAUUUUGGUUAUCAAAUUAUUUUCUCAUUGAUUAUGUCUUUUUGUUGCAAAAUUGAUAGUGAAUUGCUUCUGAUUUAUUAAUCAAUAGCAAAAUUCAAAGAAAAAAGACAAUAGUGAAAAAUGCAAAUACUGAUUUCGACCAAAAAACUAGUCGACCUUAGUGUAAACGGGUUUGAUAAGGGGAGCUCUAUUGUGGUGUUGAAGCAGGAGAUUUUUCUUAAAUAUACAAUCUUAUGUUAAUGAGAAUAAAUUUUGAUAUGAUUGUUGGAUCGAGCUAAAAUUUUGCUAGGAGAUUCUAGAGGUUUUGUUUCCUAUAAGGUUAAAAUAUCGCAGCAAUCAAAGAUUGGAAAGAGCUUCCGAUAAUACUCAAUAUUUUCUAUAUUUUCAUUGUUGAUUUAAGAUUAUUUUUUUUUGUUUAUGAUUCUUUUAUUAUUUUUCUAGGUUUGUUUAGGCCUUUUUUUCUAGUAUAAAUAGAGUUAUUUAAUUACUUGUAUUUGAGGAGACUACUUGAAAAGAAAAUGUUCAUGAAUAAAAUUUUGAAUUAAGGAUUUUGAGUGAUCCAUUUUUUAGCAUAAUUUUAUGCUCCUAUGUUUGCUAUCUUUCUUGUGUUACUUCUAUCUAUAUCAGUUGGUAUCAGAGCCCAACGAUCCCAGGUUUUUGCUUUAUAUGUGUUGCAAUCCCAUGUUAUUUUAUUUAUUAUGUGCUACUAAAUAAUUGUGGCUAGAAGAGGUUGCGGAGCAAGACAUGUUCAAAUAAAUUAAAGAGGAUGAGGAGAUUCCUCAUAUAGAGAGAAAUAUUCAGGAGCUGGUGAUAGAAAAUAUGGAGAGACUAAUUACAAAAUUAACAUUUCAACCGGAGAUAAUAAUCAUGCAGAGGAAAGUUAAAUAAUUAUCUUAUCGAUUAGGAUGAAAAAAAAAUAUCGGAGGAUCAUAAGAAGAGUGAUCACAAAUCCAUAACUAGUUUUAAAAACUCAUUUCAAAAGCAUGAGUAAAGGAGACAAUUUUUUUUUUUUUUAUCAGAAUGAGUAUUAUGAAGAUUUCAAUUAUUUGUGAUGAGGUAAAUGUGGACUGAAAUUGCCCACCAUUGUAUGAUGUUUAUUUUGAUGAUGAUGAUAAUAUUGAUGAUGAUAUCAUUAAUAAUAACAUAAAUAGUAGUGAUGAUAUCAUUGAUGCCCUCCUUAUUGAUUACUUAGAAGUUGAGUGCAAAACAAACAAGGAAGGUGCUCAAAACAAUUAUUGAUUUAGACCAUAUUAAUCAUUUUAAUUACAAGUUUAUUAUUAUCACAAAGGUAGAUGCAUUCAAUCGAUUAUUGAUGUUUCGAAACUAAUUUCAAAUUCCUUUUUAGUUUAAUUCAAUCGAUUAUUCAUUCUGUAUACUUUAUCGCAUCAUUCUUUUUAAGCGCAGUUUCAGGUGCCAAUCCAUGUCUUUUCAAUGCGUAGUUCGUGCAUCUGUGUUAUCUAAUUGAUAAAUGUUUCUUCGCAUAUUUUGGUCAAUCAGGCAAUGAAGUAAUAGAGUGCUUCUAAAUUCUGUUGCUGCUUGCUUGAUCACUUGCCGCAUUAGAUUGAAUGCACAUGUCCAGUGUACUCAUUUAUUUUCCUCAUCUUUUGUUUAACAUUUCAACAGGUGGAUGAGUUACAGAACACUAUAGAGGAAGAUGAGAAGAAUUUGAUUGAGGAGAUGAGAGUGGCAACAGAAGAGCAGAAGAACGGAAUGGAGGAUGCUGGUGGGGUCUCGGAAGCCAUGGCUGUUGAUUAGGAGUGACAUGUUCCAUGAGAGAACUCGUGUUUAGUGAAUGUACUAUUGAAGUUUUUUAGCUGAGCCUCUUCUUCUUAUGAUUUAUUCUAUUUGAGCAUGUGCACUUUCAAAAGUUUUGCAGUCGAGUUCUGUAGUCUAAAUCUAUUUAAUUAGUCAUGGAAAAUGAUUUACAACAAUCUUAUUAAAAGACGACUCCACGCAAACUUAUAGAAUAGGUAAUAAUCGGUAAAUGAGAUGAUAACAUUACAGGUGUGUGUGCUUUGAGAAUUUUUAUAAUUGAGGGUAUCAAAAUUUAUUCCUUUUCAAACAGAUAUCAUCGCAAGGGAAAUUUGAAGAGGUGGCAUGUAUAAUAUGAAAAUUUUGUUGAGUUGUUAUUUAAGUGACAAUUAUGACAAAUAUUAAGUGAUAAUGUGGGCAAGUUAGUGAUGAUGUGACACUAAUGAUAUGAAAAAAUAUUUAUAAUUUAUUCUCUACAUUUUUGUUUUGUUUUGAAUUUUAACAAUUAAGAUUAUUUACCUUUUAUAUAUUUUCAUAUAUUUGGUUCAUGUCAUAAAUUUACAUGGAAAAAUCACCCUAAUAAUUCUCCUAACAUUUUAGCAUGGUAACUAAUUUAUAAGAUUUUUUUUUCUAAUAUAAAUGAGCUUUUCAUAUCGAAUCAUGAAAACCCAAAUUUAUAAUCCAAAAUAUCCCUAAAACUUAAAAGAUCUAAAAACCCAACUUGAGCUUUUGCCGAAAUGAUUCUAUGCAUAAGGCAUCGAUGAACUGAACACAGGCAUCAUCAUGGUUGAAACUUGAAUUAAAGAAGUGGGUUGUGUUCAAUCUAUGAAAAAGAGUGGGAUGCCACCUUCAACUCUUGUGAACAUCUUCUACUUACAUCAUUAACAUCUUGAGACUUAUGAUCUCCAACAUCGAACACUAAUCCAGAUGUUUUUUUAAUCUCAACGUCUUGCCCUCUCUCCCACAUGAACAUUAGUUCAAGAUUAGUGGCCAUGGAUUCAAGGCCAAAAAAAGACCUUGGUUCCUCGCUAGCUAAGUCAGACAUAAAAUUAUAUAAAAAAGACAAAACUCCUUCUAAUCUCUCUCUCUUUCGAGUGUGAAAUUGAUUGUGGAGAUUUGGCAUAGAGUUUUUAGAGAGGUGGGUUUCGGCUGAAGGGUGUUGAAAACUGGAAAAAUUAAUAUGUGAGUUUUUCAAAGAGGAGAUCUGGUGUGAGAUCCCUAUGACUUGUGAUGCCAAGGAAGCUCUUUGAGUACGGUGUUGAUUCUCUGCACCUCAAACCGAUCAAAUUAUUCUUUUUUUCUUACUCUCUUUUUGUUUACGUCUAUCUGUCAGUGCAGAUGAAAUUAAGAACUAACAUUGAAUAGAUUUGCAGGUUGCAAACUACCCCAAUAGAAUUAUUUCAAAGGUGAGUUGAUUACUGGUUUUGCUUUUUACGCUUGUUUUCCCUCUUAUCUGGGAUCCCUAUCAUCGCUGCUUUGGACAGGAUCCAAGGUGUGUGUGUUGAUCAGCUUCCAAAAACUGUUAUGAGCGAAGACUUCAUAAAGAGAUUUGUUGAGCUCGAGGAUUCAAUCAUAACAAGAUUUUUUUGUAAAUCUAAUGUCAUUCGGUGUAGUAAAUACUUUUGUCGGCUUUGUAAGUAAUGCAUGUUGGACGCAUGUUGUGUUCAACAUUCGGUGAGAAAUCAAACUACUCUGGAAGGAAGAAAACAUGUUGUGUUCUUCGACCUGGUCCCACGAAAACGAUGACAGACAUAGUGUCGCUCCUGAAUUACAGUGAAAGGACGGCAAAGAUGCCAAACAUAUAUAUAUAUAUAUAUAUAUAUAUAUAUAUAUGUGGUUCUUAAACACCAUGCAGGAAACGUGCUUCGUCUUUUGAUGGCUUCCAUUUAGCAACUCUUAUCCAAAAGGCAGGCAAGUGAAUGGACCCCAAAAAUCCCACCACUCUCCAUCUGUUCACGAGAGAUUUCUCAAAAAAACCCCUUAAAUUUUCUGCUCUUGCAAAUCACCACAGUGAUUUUUAUAUGAAUUUAUAUCCCUCGCCAUUACCAUUCCUUGAACAAGUGUUAAGUAUAUCAAAAAUAACUCUAAGGCUAUUUGCGUGUUUGGUGAUGCCGUGUUUUUUCAUUGAAAAUAAUACCGCAGUCUACUUGAACUUACAAUAGUAAAGAAAUCUCUUACCACCAAAACAACUGCUCGCACAGUUGCGCUUGAACCUGUGAACAAGAGCUUACAUGUAAACCUCUUGGUUUGCAACACAACCAUGGAGCAGGUUCAUGGCUAGGCUACUGUUACAUGGUGCACCGAAGCUGGCACGUAAUUGCUAGUGAAGCGAGCCAUGAGAAAAGGGUCCUCGCUCCUGACGGUGUAAAAAAGGAAGGUGGGUAACAAGGCACUGCCUAAUUGAAAGCCAAGGGUUAACUUGUUAGAUAUGAAAAUGCAUGGCCCUGAUAAGUUGGAAUUACCAAACCCACAGCAGAGCCACAAGAGAUGUUCGGCUGGAGACAAUGAUUGCUUGUAUUGAUAAAACGUACAGACGAUCAUUUGGGCCCAAUUCUACGAUCAUGUCGCCGGUUAUGGAUAAAAUGUUUUUUACAAGUGGUGAUGGAAUUGUGAAAAAUCUUAUAAAAUAAGUUCUUUGGUUGUAUAAGAUAUUCUUUAAUACUUUAAUUAGCAAAUAUCGUGGAAUUAUUGUGUGGAGAAUAAAAGGUAAUGCAUGGUGUAAAACAAGAAAAUAAUGUGUCAAGUGAGCUACAAAUAACUUUUCUCCACCAAUAAUAUAUAUAUAUAUAUAUAUAUAUAUAUAUAUAUAUAUAUAUAUGGCUUAGAAUGACUUGAUUAACUUUUAUAAUAUACAUGUCACAACAAUCAUGACAUGUCACAAUAACCAAUAUCCGAUGAGCUACAAGGUCUAGCCAAUAGAAGCACACCAAUAUUUUCUCCACCAAUAAUAUAUAUAUAUAUAUAUAUCCUUUUCCUUCUCCUUGAAAAAAUUUCACGAUUUGAGAGAGUCAAUAUACCUAGUCACAAGGAAAAAUCUAGAUCAAUCCUUGGCCAGACAUAACACCAAUUAACCAUAGAAAAUCAUGUCGGCAACAUACAUUCAUAUUUUAGCCAUAAAAGCCAGUCAUACCAUAUAAGUCAGCCAUGUCAUAAAAUCCAACCAACCAUGUCAUUUUUAGAUCAUUGAAGACAAUCAUGUCAUUAUAGUCAUUCAUGUAAUUGUAGACCUUAAAAGUCAGUAAUGCCAUUAUAGACUUAAGGCAUAGACUAUUUUUAUUUAUACAUUUUGUUUUCACAUACAUGACACAUUUUUUACACUUGUUGACUUAAAUAUUGGAGUGUACCAUGUUCCAAUAAAAACACUUGUUUUUUUUUUCAGGUAAACAUUUAGCUUCUUACAGUGAAAUUCAUCAGAGACCAACCUAGUCACUCCACAACCCCACCAAGGAUGUAGAUGUAAAAAAUCCAUAUUAUAUCUGAAAGUUUUUCAGUACUUCCUCAAGUGGGAUCAAAAUAUAUAUAAAUUUUAAUAUAUUCAAAUAUAUAUAAAUUUUAGAGAUAAUUAUAAAAACCCUUCUAUACUUUGAUAUGAAUUUCACUUUUCCUCUAUACUUUCAUAAAUUACACUUUUCAUCUUAUAGUUUAUAUGUUCAAUAAUAGUUUACAUCCUCAACAAUGUAUUCUAUUUGAAUUUUUUGAUUGAUACAGGAUGUAGAGUGUAAUUUAUGAAAGUAUAGAAAGAACGUGAAAUUCAGAUCAAAUUAUUGGAGCAUUUUUGUAUUUUUUCCUAAAUCUUAUGAUAUUUAAAUUUCUAAAAAUGGUUAGGCUCAAAUUUGUUAAAUUAGAUCUCAAUUCCGUUAAUGGUGGUUAGAAAAAGAAAAACUACUAGUAAAUAGAACAGUGUUUUAUAUAAAACCUAAUAAUCCCAUAACUUAGAAUGAUCGAUAUUCAUUUGUGGAUAUUGAAAGAUCAAAAAGAGUGAUCAAAAAGAUACUUGAGUAUCAAUAUAGUAUGAUCUUACCUCAAGCAAUUCAUAAAAUCAAUUAAUUUAAUCUCUAAUUAAAAAAAUUAUGUUAAAUUUAGACUUUGUCAAAUAAAAUUUUCAAAAUCAAACUUUAAUUAUUGAAAAUGAUAUAAAACUUUGUGAUAUCUAACUAAGCAACUAUGAAUAUAGACGAAGAGAUAAAGGAAAAAUAGAGGAAUAACCCAAUGGGCAGGGUGCUUGAUUAUUAGCAUGGUUUUGGUUAGAUUUUGGGUUAAAUACUAAUUAUUAACCAAAAAACUAAAUCACAACAGCAUUUCACUAUGGAAAAAAAAAAAAUUGCACACACUCACAGCUUAUUGUUCAUUUACUAGUUAUUUUUGUCAUUUUUUAUAUUUUAGUUCCUAUAGUUUUGCACAGUUUAUAAUUCGAUUGCUAAAUUCAUUGUUCAUUUCUUUUUAAUUUUAUCUCUUGAAGUUAAGUUUUCAUGCACUAAAAUCUAUUUUAAUAUGUUUUUUUCUUUCUUUGUUUAUUUUUUGUUAAAUGUUCUAACCUUAAAAUUAAUGAUCAAUUUUAUAAAAUAAAGUUUGAACUUUUUGUUAAGAAAUAAAUUGAGAGAUUAAGGAUUAAGAUUUACAUAAAAGAAGAAUAAAAAACCUUUUCAAAAGUUACAUUUGAUCCCUCAAGUUUUAAUUUUUACAUAUUUCAUCCUUAUUCUUUUACGUUAUUACUUUUUGGUUGUGAAUUUUUUUCUACAUUUUAGUCCAUAUAGGUUGAAAAAUGAAAGAGAAAGUUGUCAAAAAAGUUGAGACAAAAAGCUCUAGGAUGGCAGAAUUUGACUAUCAAUAGCACUUUGAUUUUGUUGACUAUGAAUUCAACUUCAAAAAAGGAACUCAAAGUAGAUGGUUUCUACAUUUAAUGGUGCCAGAAAAGUUAGAUCGAUACUCGAAAAAAAUAAUUAAUUUUGAUAUAAUUUUUAGUUUUCAGACCAAUUAAAUUGUGUUUUGUUAUUAGAAAUGAAAUUUUAAAAGUUCAUAUGAUAUUUUUCCAUGUUCUUGGAUAAAAAAUGGUUUAAAUAUAGAUUUUGGGUGCAUAAACUUGGACCUUGUUUUUCUAGUCUAUAGACCCACCUUUAAUGAUUUAAAAGGUUGGAAAAAGGAUGAUGCAUUAUCUAUAUAAGUAGGUGAUCGUUGUCGGUUUAAUUUUUAAAAAAUAGAGUCCACUAACCUUUUGUCCUCUUUUAAAAAAAAUACUAUGUGUAUUUAGGGUUUUAAUUAUAGAAUAGACAAGUGGACCUAUUUUUCUAGCCCAAACAUGUUUGACCCUUCUUUUUACAAUAUCCAUUCAAUAUUUUUCUGAUUGUUUUUUAUUUAAUUUUUUUUUAUAAUAAUAUUCUCUUUAAAUAAACUUAUUAAAAAGAGAUUUACAUAACUAUUCGAUUAUGCCAUUUUUUUUCAUAUAAGUUUAUGGUGUUAUUAACAAUUACUUACAAAUAAUUAUACAUUAAUUACCUAAUAUGCAUAAGUUUCUAAAAUAUUUACUUGUUAAUCUGAUUUGUUGUUUCUUGUUAUAAAUUUUUACAUAUUGUUUCUCAAAUUUAUUAUUCUUGUAUUUUUAAAUAAUAUAAAUUAAAAAUUAUCAAUCCAUGAUUUGUUUUGUUUUUUUAAUCAACCUUUCUAUGACGAUAAUGAUAGUUUUUUUUUAAGAAUAUUUAUCAUUAAAAAAACAUGUUUUUGUCAAGAAAAAAAUAAGAGAAGGGAUUUUGAUUAAAGAGAAACAUUUUUUUUUGUAUUAUUUGAAGUCUUUAAAAUAUUUUAAAAUAUUUAUUUUAAUUACUUUUAGUUUUAAUGCAGUAAACCACAUAGCUAAAAAAAUAUGAUUUUUGUUAAAAACAAAUAUUAUUAUGAAAAAGAGAAUUCAGACUAAAAAUUAACAUUUUUAUACAUAAUCUAAAUCAUUACUUGUCUUACAAAAAUCUAUUUUUAUUUCAAUAUAAUUAAAUAAAAAAAUUGACGAGGAUGUUGCGGCACAAGAUAAAAUAUCUAGAUGCACGUUUAUCUUUUACUCUUUAAAAGGAAGAUUAGGUUCCGUGAUAGAAUUUAAUUAAUAUUAACAACUUUUUUUUACAAUAUAUUGAUUCAUAUAUUUGUCAAUUUAUUUUAUUAAAUAUAGUUAUCAACUUUUCAAUUUUCAAUUAAAUAUUUUAUAAUGCUAAAAAGUGUGUUCACAAUGCAUGCACAUUAUUUUUUUGUGUUAGAAAUUAACUUGGAUUCCUACCCUUAGAGCAGCACAAGUACUUGACUAGUAAAGAAACUAAAUGAAAAUGUUAUACCUUUGUUUCUUUUACUGUGAUACAGAAACAGUUGCAUUGUGGAUUGCAAAGAAACAGUUGCAUUGUGGAUUGAUACAAGACAAUAGUUUUUAUCCCUUAUUUUUUAUUGUUUUGGAAACAUUAUAGCAAAUGAACUUUUUUACUUUUCAAUUCUAAUAUUCUCCUACAUUAUGUUGUAAUUUUUGUGCUUUAACGUAUUUGAUUUGGUGUGGAACAACCUGAUAUUAAGAUCAAUAUUACAAAAUAGAUUUUUAGUUUAUAGUUUUCAAGAAUUUGAAACAACAAUGACCAAAUUUAAAAUUAAAAUUAAAAAUAGCUCUCUUUGUUUUUUAAUUGUUUAUGGUUUUAAGUUUUAUAAUUUAUAUAAAAAAAUAGGUUUAAUCUCUAGAGCUUUUAAUUUUACACAUUUCAAUUAUAAACUUAUUUAUUUUUAUUACAUCUCAGCCUUUGGUGUUGAGAGAGAAGAGAUAAAGUCAAUACAAAAUAGAAGAGGAGAGAGAAAUAAUUUAUUCAACUGCAUUCCAACCACAUAAAAAGUUUAUCUUGGUGUUAAUGGGUUAUCCUUAGAGAGAGAAGUUAAUAGAAGAUGAUUUGUUUUUCUUUGAUUAUGCUGGAGAAAGUAGAUCGAGACUAGUAAAACUAUUUUUUAUUUGGUUAGAUCUCAAGUUUCUAGAGUGAUUAGAGAGUGUUUUGAUGUUAGAAAUAAGUUUAUUAAGAUUUUUAUGAUGUUUUUAGGAUGUUUUCAUGAGAAAAUAAGUUCAAAAAUUGGAUUUUUGGAGCUGUAUGAAACUCAAACCUCACUUUCCGACCAUCAAAUGUGUCAGAAUUUGAACUAGAAGAUGACACAUCAUCCGCUCAUCGAAAUAAAACCAAGAACUUGAGCUUAGCCUUUUUGUUCAAGAUCCCUUAACAAUUUGUUUUUCCCUUUUUUUAUUUUGUGAAUAAAAUUCUCUUUAAGUUGAUUUAUUAAAAUAAUAUUUAUGAAUCCAAUUAAGUCAUUUUAAAGAGAAUUAGAGAUUUUUAUGAUAAUAUUAGCAAUUUAUUUAAGAAUAAUUAUGUAUUAACUUAAAAUGUAUAAAUUUUAAAAUAAUUUGCUUGGUAAUAUUGAAUGAGAAUAAAAUAUCUAUUUUAUAUAAAAGUUUCUUAAAUUUAUUAUUUCUAAAUUUAUUCAUGUAAAAAUCAUUGAUUCAUAUUUAUUUUUUAUUUUUUAAUUAAAACAUGCAUUGAUGAUCAUAAUAAAUUUUGACUUAAAAAACAACUUUUCAAUAGCAAAAGUUGUUAAAGAAACCUCAUUUUUCCGACUCUUGACAAUGUUAAAAUCAUCCAUCGAUCAUCCACUACCGGAAUUAAAACUAGGAACAGGUGAAUACGUUAUAUAAUGGAGAAAGUUCAUAGCAUUUUUAUUCGAGUUUAUUUAAUUUAGUAGGCAAAACACAGUUCAGUUCAUUUGAGUAGCAAUCGGUCAUCGAUCUCUUUCAUAGCACUCAAACGACUCAGAAGCAGAUACAAAAUCCCAUCACUCACAAGCCAGACGUGGCGUAGGAAUUGACUCAAUGAACUUGGCUGCGGCGAGGAAAGCAUUGUAGGAGGCCAAGUAGCUAGCAUGCGAUCCUGGACUUGCUUCACCUGCUACAUUUGAAGCACCUCGGAUCACGAUGAAAGGCUUUUCAUUUGAUAAAGAUGUCUGCAAAUCAAAUGACCAAUAAAUUUUUAGUUAGCCGAACACAUGAACUAGAGAAAACUUUUCUGAGUUCAAUGAAAUUAUUCCUUGUUACUAACCCAAGCUACAGCAGCGCUUUCUUGGUCGGCAGUUGAGACGUUAAAAACUUCGUGAAGGAAUUCUCCAUAUGCUUUAUUUUUAAUGUAAGAAUCAGAACUCGAGGCCUUAGUUCCUAACACAAUCUUAGGCUUGGAAGGUAGGCAAACUCCAUCGUAGCAUUGGCUCAACUCCAAAUCCUGCAAAUCACAGAAAUUAUUCAAGCGUAUGCAAUACAGUGUGAGUGACUCUAGGCAGGGCUGAUCAGUAGUAUUGAUAAAGAAGAAAGGAUCAAAAUUAGAUUGACAAACCUGAAGCACUUGAGUGGCAGCACUAUACCAGGAUGUGGUGCUGGGAAACCAGAAAACAUCCUGCGGUGAGUGUCCUUUAGAGAACAAUUUUAUUGUAUCAUAGUCUACGCUAGCCAACAAGUUCUCUCCGUUCACUGGAUAAUUAAACUCGCCAAAGUUCAGCGCCCCUUUAUCUGACCCGAAUUUCUGCGCCAUUGUAAAAAUUAAAUCUGGUUACGUAUAAGACGUAUGUGUCUUAUAAUUAACAUACAACUUAAACCCAGAAAAUUAAAUUAAAUUUUUUUCAAGUCAUCCAAAUAUAUAUAUAUAGGGUAGAUAUAUAUUUUUUUUUCAUGGAAAAUACUCCAUGGUAAAUUCCAGAACCAAAUAUUAUGUACUCGCCAUUAAUGUUCACAGAGUGUGUGUGUGUGUGUGUGUGUGUAAUUACCUUCCAAUUCCAAGCUCCUGUGAAAGCAACAGCAAGCGGCACGGAAACAUCACCUGGCACUAUACUUUUUUCAUCAAGGCUCCCAGCACUACCAAAGUGAAUAAUUCCCUGAAUACGGAAUCUAUUCAAGAGGAUUUGCACAGCAAUGGCAGCAUUUACCUAUGUUUGGUUGCAGUUAGCAAUGGACAGCAACAGUGUAAUAUAUUGAAUAUUUAAAUAGUGCAAUGAAGAAACAAAGAUUAUAAAGAAACGAGGAAUCUUACAGAAUUUCCCCCGAUCUUAACAUAUACAAUAAAACGAGCAUUAAGUGUCCCAAUGUGGAACCUUCUCCCCGCAAUGUCAACAUAAGGCGUUUCAGCAUCAGGUGUGAAGAGACCAGAGUCUUGAAGGGCCUUUUCGUUGGUAUCAGAAGUUAAUAUCAGGGAAACAUGCAGAGAAUCUGCUCAAAUCAACACAAAGAAGGAAUAGCAGAAAAUCAUGGCACAGACUCUGCCAUCAACGAUAUAUAUUUGGAACGUAAAAUCUGCAGCUGUAUAUUGUAAUAGUACAGUUUUAGCAUUACCAUUUUAUUUGUUUCCAAAACUGAUUCCACGUUGUUGUAUAUAUUGCACACAAUAAUUAUCAAUACAUAAGGUGAAUAACUCAUUGAAACAGCUGCUGUGUUGUGUCUCUUUAGUUAAGACAAGACCUAAACGAGUGAAAUCAAUUUUGCAAUUGUUUGUCUCAGCAACAGGGUUUCUCAAACUCAUUUGGAAGGACUGCUGAGCCAAAACUAGCAGCCCAACCACCAUCACUACCAAGUUAACGCUCGACAUUCUAGAGAUCUGAGUAGAGCUAGCUCAGAUGAAAUGAGGUGAGAGAGAAGUUGUUUAGAGCAAUGCAAGUGUUUUGUGGUAUUCAGGUGUUGCUCAUGUGACUUUAUAUAGAGAUCAUCUAGCGAAACGGCCAAUUUAUAUAUAUAUAUAUAUAUAUAUAUAUAUUGUUAAAAUGAAAUAUUAAAUCUUUCAUAUCCAUUCAUUUCUUAAGGAUUCAAGUGAAGACGAAACUUUUUAGUGUAAUUACAUGAAAGUCCUUCAUUAUGCAUGGAAUGGAGCAAUUAUGUGUGCACUGCUCUUUCCAUGAUCAUGCAAGAUACUAACAAUCAUCAAAUAAGUUAAACAUCUUCUUCGUCAUGUUGUAACAUUUUUUAGCAAUAGAAGUUGAUGCAUGUGGAAGCUAAAUAUAAUAAUUAAAAAAAGCAUGAUUUUAUUAGCGAAAAGUGGAGAUGUGAGUUACAAAUUCAUAAGCUUAUUCUCUCUAAAUAAUAAUAACGAAAUUUAUCAUGUUAGAAGGUUUACAAAGUUUUAAAUAAGUCAGAAACCCUACCUCAACUAGGAACCAAAAAUAAAAAUAUGAAAUUACAAAGAAAAAAAAACAUAAAAUCAAAACAAAACAUAAAAUCCGAAAAUAACAAGAAAAAAUCACAAAAACUAUCAAAACCAGGGGUGAUCUCGACGAGAUUUUUGAUAACUGAAGAUCCGAUGGUCCGUAUAGCAAUACAGUAUUAUUAUAUGAAAAACAACUCUGGAAACUCCUAUAAAAUUUUGAGCAUAAUCCAACGGCUGAAUAAAAAGUCUGACCCUUUUGAGUUGUUAUCCUAAUCUGGUGUGAUCAGACCUGUUUUUAGACCUAAACAUGUCCCAUCGAUCAACAAAUGCAUCUACUAGGCCACUCAUAUGAUCUAUCUGUGACAAAUUCUUAUCUAGUUGUGGUAAACCUGCACCUAACUGCUCAAAAUUACAUGUUAACUUGAGUGCAUCAGAAGUGUUUUGUAAAGAACUUGCUUUCAAAGCAGAUAUAUUAUCUUAGAAAAGCAAGUUGAAAGCGAUUAUAAGGGAAGCAUGUAUUCUUUUAUUUCCCUUAUAAUUUGCUAAAAGGAUGCUCACCUUGUAAGCAAGCCAAAUCCUAAAUAACAAAACUUCAGCGCCAGACAAUUGAAAAACAUUGAUGGAAUAUUCUUUCGGUGAGUAAACUUUAUUUUUUCAGCCAUUUACUUUGUUGAUGGACUUACCGAUGGAAAUACGUUGUUGAAAUUUUUUUUGCCGGGGAUUUGCUAUCCAUUGGCAUUUAUGUUGGUAAUUUGUAAUGCCAACAAAACAUUGGUGCCAAAAAAUAAAAUGCACCAACCAACUUUCAUUAGUCAUUGUGUCACUAAAUAAAUUAUUGAUGAAAUGUUUUAUGGCUUAUUCCAUCAGCAAUAUUUAGUUUUUUCCAACGAAAUAGGCGACGAAAUUGGUGACAUAAUGUCCGUCGCUAAUUCCAUCGAAAAACUUUAUGAUGAAAUAGUACCUAUAUUUCUGAUGGAAUCAUUGAUGGACAAAAACAUUUGUUAGUGAUUCCGAUGGAAGUUUAAUAUAUUUUUUUUAGUUAUGUAGUUGUUAAUUUGAAAAACAAAAAAAAUCACAAUAAAACCAAACACUACCAAUUUUAUUGAGCAUCAAUUUUUUUUAUUUCAAUAGUCAUUAAAAAACAAUUUGACAACAAUACAUACAUUAUCCACUUCAUUCUGUCGGUAUUUUCCUCGAAAAAAUACCGUAUGUAAUUCUAUCGGUAAUUAUUUAAAAAUAUAUUUUUUAAAAAUCCAUUUUACAAAACUAUAAAAUAAUUAAAUUAAUAUAAAUCAGUACUCUAUAAUACUCAAAACGUUUGGAAAAAAGAAGAAGAAAAUCAUAUGAAAAAAAAAUCAUACAACAAUAUUCAUAUAAUUAUUAAGAACAAAAACAAUUAAAAAUAAAAUAAAAAAACAAAUAUAGUGAAAAAAAACACGAAAAAAUAAAAAUCUUACCUUAAUGUGGUUGCAAGUGAAACUAAGAAGAGAAAAAAAGAAAAAUUUGUAAGGUAUAUUAAAACUGAGAAGAAAAAAGAAGAAAGAAGAAGAAUACAUACCUGAGCAUGGAGGAGAUGAGAAGGAGUUGAGGAGAGAAGAGAAGAGAAAGAAAUGGAUAUUGAUGUUUUUUACAUAUAGGGAAGAAGAAGAAGAAAUGGCCCCGUCUGUUGUGAAAUUAGGAAUUUUAGGCUUUUUAUGUGGUGUUUUACCGACGGAUAAAAAAAUAGGUGAGAAUUAUUAUAAAAAGAAUAAAAAAACGGAAUAAGUUUUUUUAAUAUAUAAAAAUUCUAAAUACUAAACUUCAAAAUAUUUUAGAGCAAACAAAAACAAACAUAAACAUUAAUGUUAAAGAAGUAACAUGUAAAAUGGAUUUAUUUUUUAAAAUUUUAGAGAGAAAAAAUCAUCUAAGAAAAAACAUUUUUAUUAUUUAUUUUCGAAAGAAAUCACCAAACAUAGUGACCUACCAAUAGCUUGUCGUUAAACCAAACAUGUUCUGUAAAUGUUUUAUUAAGAUUUUACUGACUGGAAUAUUAUCCCUGAAUAUUCGAAAGAUUUUUUUGUGAAUCUAAUAUCAUUCGGUGUAGUAAAUACUUUUGUCGGCUUUGUAAGUAAUGUAGCAUGCGCCUCUGGAAGGAAGAAAACAUGUUGUGUUCUUCGACCUGGUCCCACGAAAACGAUGACAGAAAUAGUGUCGCUCCUGAAUUACAGUGAAAGGAAGGACGGCAAAGAUGCACCACAAAAGAAAAACUAAUAUUCGCUCAGAAUGCCAAACAUUUAUAUAUAUGUGGUUCUUAAACACCAUGCAGGAAACGUGCUUCGUCUUUUGAUGGCUUCCAUUUAGCAACUCUUAUCCAAAAGGCAGGCAAGUGAAUGGACCCCAAAAAUCCCACCACUCUCAAUCUGUUCACGAGAGAUUUCUCAAAAAAACCCCUUAAAUUUUCUGCUCUUGCAAAUCACCACAGUGAUUUUUAUAUGUAUUUAUAUCCCUCGCCAUUACCAUUCCUUGAACAAGUGUUAAGCAAGGACGAAGGCAUGUAAAGGCCUGGGUGUUAGCUAUAGUCGAGGUCAAGAUUUUAUCAAUAUUUUUUAACUAGUUUAUGUAAAAACAAUUUAUAAUUAUUGAUUGAGUUAUUAAAAAAUUCUUAAAAUUUGCAUGAAGCCUUUUAAUAUGAUACUUUAGCUUGGGUUAAAAUUUCAGAAUUUUUGAAGAAAUUUGAUGAAAAAUCACAAUUUAACCAGUUUUACGUUAUUGAGUGUAAUUUUCAAUCCGACCAUCAGAUUGAGCUGAAAGUUUAUGAGGGAUCUUAAAAUAUAUUAAAUAAAAUCUGGUUAAAAUUUUAGGAUGAACAGAGCUUGGUAGUGCUAAUAAAAAAAGAGAACCGUCAAAUAAAAGCAAAACGACUCAUUAAGGGUAAAAUGAUUAUUUGCCAUUAAAAAAUAAAACAAAUCAGUUCUUCCUUCUUUUUAUAUGUUGCUGACAUGGCAGAAGCAGAAUAGAAAAAGAAAGAAAAGAAAAGGCAAGAGAUAAAGAGAGAAAAGUAAGGGAAAAACAUAAAAAAAAAUCUAAGAAAAAAAAUAAAAAAAAUAAGAGAAUAACCUUGUAAACUUACAAAGUCCAACUUAUAAAACACUAAUCUAAGGAAUAAUCAAGUGAAGGAAGGAGGAAUUGAGAGAGAGAAAAAAUUUAAUUACUUUGUUUUCCAGUUGACAUGAGAUUGUUAUUUUAUCCUGGUUGAGGGGUUGUUACAAUAUCGAUUCAGAUUCGAUUAUAAAUGAAUUAUAUUCCACAAAACAUCGAAGAAUGUAACUUCAAUAGUUGGUUUAUUUUUACUUUCACUUUAAUUUUAUGUACUUUUAAAUUUAUUUUUUAAUAUUUUAGGUAGUGUAUUUGAAUUAAAACUUUACUGUUAACUUCCAAAAUUCAUGUAAAUAAAUUACUAAUUUAUCUUAAAAAAAUUAUAUAUUUAUUUAAUAGCCCAGGCUAUAAAAAUUCCUGGCUCCGUCCUUGGUGUUAAGUAUAUCAAAAAUAACUCUAAGGCUAUUUGUGUGUUUGGUGAUGCCGUGUUUCUUUCACGUGAACAUUUAGCUUCUUAGUGAAGUUCAUCAGAGACUAAUCUAGUCACUCCACAACCCCACCAAAGAUGCAGCUAUAAAAAAUCCAUAUUAUGUCUGAAGGUUUUUCAGUACUUCUUCAAAUGGGAUCAAAAUAUAUAUAAAUUUUAAUAUAUUCAAAUAUAUAUAAAUUUUAGGGAUAAUUUUAAAAACCCUUCUAUAGUUUGAUAUGAAUUUCAUUUUUCCUCUAUACUUUCAUAAAUUACACUUUUCAUCUUAUAGUUUAUAUGUUCAAUAAUAGUUUACAUCCUCAAUAAUAUAUUUUAUUUGAAUUUUUUGUUUGAUACAGGAUGUAGAGUAUAAUUUAUGAAAGUAUAGAAAGAAAGUGAAACUCAGAUAAAAUUAUUGGAGAAUUUAUGUAAUUUUUCCUAAAUCUUAUGAUAUUUAAAUUUCUAAAAAUGGUUAGGCUGAAAUUUGUUAAAUUAGAUCUCAACUCAAUUAAUGGUGGUUAGAAAAAGAAAAAUUACUAGUAAUUAGAGCGGGGUUUUAUAUAAACCAAAUAUAUAAUCCCAUAACUUAGAAUGAACGAUAUUCAUUUGUGGAUAUUGAAAGAUCAAAAAGAGUGAAAAAGACACUUGAGUAUCAAUAUAGUAUGAUCUUACCUUGAGCAAUUCAUAAAAUCAAUUAAUUUAAUCUCUAGUUAAAAAAAUUAUGUUAAAUUUAGACUUUGUCAAAUAAAGUUUUCAAAAUCAAACUUUAAUUAUUGAAAAUGAUACAAAACUUUGGAAUAUUAAUGGUGCUAGGAAAAUUAGAUUGAUACUUGAAAAAAAAAAUAAUUUUGAUAUAAUUUUUAGUUUUCAGACCAAUUAAAAUGUGUUUUGUUGUUAGAAAUGAGAUUUUAAAAGUUCAUAUGGUAUUUUUUCAUGUUCUUGGAUAAAAAAUGGUUUAAAUAUGGAUUUUGGGUGCAAAAACUUGGACCUUGUUUUUCUAGUCUAUAGACCCACCUCUAAUGAUUUAAAAGGUUGGAAAAAGGGAUGACAUAUUAUCUAUCUAAGUAGAUGAUCGUUGUCAGUUUAAUUUUAAAAAAAAUAGAAUCGACUGACUUUUUGUCUUCUCUUUAAAAAAUACUAGGUGUAUUUGAGGUUUUAAUUAUAGAAUAGACAUAUGACCUAUUUUUCUAGCCCAAGCAUGUUUGACCCUUCUUUUUACAAUACCCAUUCAAUAUUUUUCUGAUUGUUUUUUAUUUAAAUUUUUUUUAUAUUAAUAUUCUCUUUAAAUAAACUUAUUAAAAAAAGAUUUACAUAACUAUUCGAUUAUGCCGUUUUUUUCAUAUAAGUUUAUGGUGUUAUUAACAAUUACUUACAAAUAAUUAUACAUUAAUUACCUAAUAUGCAUAAGUUUCUAAAAUAUUUACUUGUUAAUCUAUUUUGUUGUUUCUUGUUAUAAAUUUUUACAUAUUGUUUCUCAAAUUUAUAAUUCUUGUAUUUUUAAAUAAUUUAAAUUAAAAAUAUCAAUCCAUCAUUUGUUUUGUUUUUUUAAUCAACCUUUCUAUGAAGAUUAUGAUAGUUUUUUUUAAAGAAUAUUUAUCAUUAAAAAAACAUGUUUUUGUCAUUGAAGUCUUUAAAAUAUUUUCAAAUAUUUAUUUUAAUUACUUUUAGUUUUAAUACAGUAAACCACAUAGCUAAAAAAAUAUUUAUUUUAAUUACUUUUAGUUUUAAUACAGUAAACCACAUAGCUAAAAAAAUAUGAUUUUUGUUAAAAACAAAUAUUAUUAUGAAAAAGUGAAUUCAGACUAAAAAUUAACAUUUUUAUACAUAAUCUAAAUCAUUACUUGUCUUACAAAAAUCUAUUUUUAUUUUAAUAUAAUUAAAUAAAAAAAUUGAUGAGGGUGUUGUGACACAAGAUAAAAUAUCGACAUGCACGUCUAUCUUUUACUCUUUAAAAGGAAGAUUAGGUUCCCGUGAUGGAUUUUAAUUAAUAUUAACAACUUUUUUUACAAUAUAAUUUAUAUAAAAAUAACAAUGACCAAAUUUAAAAUUAAAAAUAGCUCUCUCUUUUUUCAUUGUUUAUGGUUUUAAGUUUUAUAAUUUAUAUAAAAAAAUAAGUUUAGUCUCUAGAGCUUUUAAUUUUGCACAUUUCAAUUAUAAACUUAUUUAUUUUUAUUACAUUUCAGCCUUUGGUGUUGAGAGAGAAGAGAUCAAGUCAUUGAAAAAAAGAGAGGAUAGAGAAAUAAUUUAUUCAUCUGCAUUCCAACCACAUAAAAAGUUUAUCUUGGUGUCAAUGGAUUAUCCUUAGAGAGAAGAGUUAAUUGAAGAUGAUUUUUUUUCUUUGAACAUACUACAGAAAGUAGAUCGAGACUAGUAAAAUUGUUUUCUAUUUGGUUGGAUCUCAAGUUUUUAGAGUGAUUAGAGAUUGCUUUGAUGUUAGAAAUAAAUUUAUUAAGGUUUUUAUGAUGUCAUGGGUCAGAAACAUCGUCGAAAUCACUAUAUGAAUAAAUUUAGAAAUAAUAAAUUUAAGAAAAUUAUAAAAAAAAAUAGAUAUUUUAUUCUCAUUCAAAAUUAACAAGCAAAUUAUUUUAAAAUUUAUGCAUUUUAAGUUAAUAUAUAAUUAUUCUUAAAGAAAUUGCUAAUAUUAUCAUAAAAAUCUCUAAUUCUCUUAAAAAUGACUUAAUUGGAUCCAUAAAUAUUAUUUUAAUAAAUCAACUUUAAGAGAAUUUUAUUCACAAAAUAGAAAAAGGGAAAAUCAAAUUGUUAAGGGAUCUUGAACAAAAAACUGAUGCAAAUCUCGGGAUCUCGUGGUCACGCAACCCAUAAUUAAGAUUGAGAUCUGAUCCCGGAAAGCCGAAAUAGAUCUGAUAGGAGUGUGACACAAUGAAAACCUGCCUCAAGGCACCAACACUAUUGGAAUGAGUAUAAUGACACCACGAAGCUAGUUAAUCUUCGAUAAGUCAGAUUCAGUUUGUUCAAGAACUGAAGAAUGUAAGAAUCAUCUUACAUGUUAAAACUGAAAAAUUCAGAAUUAAUAAUCAUCACAAGCCUUGGGCUGUUGCUAAAAAAAUAAAUAAAGCCCCUAAUAUUAAAUCCAUGUUCUGCCAUGAGAAGAAAAGAAGGAAGUAAAAUAUUACAGAACCAAUUCAAGGCUUAUUUAUAGCCUUCAAUGCAGCCCCUUAAUCCCAAAAAUAAAAGGAAAAGGUAGCCACCCAUGUUGUUUCCAAGUUGUAGUAGUAUUCUUUUGUUUUUUUCGUUGUCCUCAUCUCAUGGCCCAAAUAAGGUUGUAUUGGAUCCCUCUUGCACAUGGAUAAGAUGUACUAGGGUCUCCUCUUGAUACUCUAAUGGACUUUUCAAUUAUGACUUGGUUGAAACGUUCAAAACCAAUGCAUUCAAUGCCUCUUUCAAUGCUUUUGUCUUGGACCGAGUCAUUGGACCAUUUGGAACAUGUAAUGGGUCCUUGUUGGUGUUUCUGGGCUGGUCCACAUCAUGAAGAAAUGGAUGGGGACUUGAACACAAUUAAACUGAAAAUUCCUAACUUUCAAGGUAAAAACGAUCACGAGGCUUAUUUGGAGUGGGAGAAAAAGGUAGAUUGAAUUUUUGAUUGCCAUAGCUAUUCUAAACAAAAGAAGGUGAAAUUGGUGAUAAUUGAGUUUACGGAGUAUGGAUUGAUUUGGUGGGAAAUUGGAUUUAUGAUGUAAUCUUGCCCCCAAUAGACAGAAUAUGAAUAAUAAGAAGAAAUAUAACUUUUUUUUUUUUUUUUGCUUAGAUGACGCGGACAUAAAGAACAAGAAGAUGAACACAAACACUGAAAAACUUAAAGGAACACUAAAAAAACGAGAAUAAUAGAAGGAUAUGACCUUAUUUCAGAGCCUAGCUCUGAUACCAACUGAUGCGAACCUCGUGUCACGUGGUCACGCAACCCAUAAUCAAGAUUGAGAUUUGAUCCCGGAAAGCCGAAAAAGGUCUGAUAGGAGUGUGACACAAUGAAAACCUGCCCCAAGGCACCAACACUAUUGGAUUGAGUAGAAUGAUGCCACGAAGCCAGUUAAUCUUCGAUAAGUCAGAUUCAGUUCGUUCAAGAACUAAAAUGCAAGAAUCACUCUUACACCUUAAAACUGAAAAAUUCAGAAAUAAUAAUCAUCAAAGCCGCUGAAAUUUUGGCUUACAUGAGUUUAACCGGGGCAAAAAAAGAUCUUGGUUCCUCGCUAUUUAGUCAGACAUAAAAUUACAUAAAAAAGACAGUAUGGAAUGUAUUGUGGAGAUUUGGCAUGGAGUUUUUAGAGAGGUGGGUUUCGGCUGAAGGGUGUUGAAAACUAGAAAAAUUAAUAUGUAAGUUUUUCAAAGUGGAGAUCUGGCGUGAGAUCCCUAUGACUUGUGAUGCCAAGGAAGCUCUCUUUUUGUUUACGGUGUUGAUUCUCUGCACCUCAAACACAUCAAAUUAUUCUUUUUUUCAUACUCUCUUUUUGUUUGCGUCUAUUUGUUAGUGCAGAUGAAAGAACUAACAUUGAAUAGACUUGAAGGUGAAUUUAUUGUGCAACAAUGGAGGUUUAGGAACUACCCCAAUGGAAUUAUUUCGAAGGUGAGUUGAUUACUGGUUUUGCAUUGGACAUGAUCCAAGGUGUGUGUGUUGAUCAGCUUCAAAAAACUGUUAUGGGUGAAGACUUCAUAAAGAGAUUUGUUGAGCUUGAGGAUUCAAUCAUAACAAUAUUUUCCAAAUAAGUUUAUGCAGUUAAAGCACCAGCUAGGCACCCUGUUUAUCACAAUGCCAUUAUAAUUAUUUGGGAUUUUAAUGACUGGAAUAUCCCUGAAUAUUCUAAAGAUUUUUUUGUAAAUCUAAUAUCAUUCGGUGUAGUAAAUACUUUUGUCGGUUUUGUAAGUAAUGCAGCAUGCGCCUCUGGAAAGAAGAAAACAUGUUGAUUGCAAAUGAGGUCCUUUCUUUCAUUAAGAAGAAAAAGGGUAAAGCUUAUCUCUUCAAAUUAGAUUUUCACAAAGCCUUUGAUUCGGUGUUAUGGGAAUAUAUUAAUGAAAUCAUGGCUAGUAUGGGCUUUGGCAAUAGAUGGCGAGGGUGGAUUAUGCAAUGCAUAUCAACGGCAAAAAUGUCUGUGCUUGUUAAUGGGUCUCCCACGGAGGAAUUCUGCUUAGCUAAAGGCCUACGCCAAGGAGACCCUCUCUCUCCGUUUCUCUUCAACAUUGCAGUCCAGGGGUUGAGUAGUAUGUUGCAACGUGGCUGUGAUUUGGGUUUGACUUCAGGUAUAAACAUGGGCAAUGCAGGGCUUGUCAUAUCUCACUUACAGUUUGCAGACGACACCGUUAUAUUCAGUUCAGACUCUUUACAUAGCAUGCAGAACAUUAAACGUAUCCUAUUAUGCUUUGAACUCGGGGUUGAAGGUCAAUUUUUAUAAAAGUAGCAUUGUCGGUGUGGGUGUAGCAGCUCAUACAUGUAACUUCACGGCUCAGCUUCUUAGAUGCAAGCAGGAUCAGCUGCCUCUCAUGUAUCUUGGACUCCCCAUUGGUGGAAACCUGGGCAGAGCUACAAUGUGGAAUCCUAUUUUACGCAAUAUCAGUUUCCGGUUGGCUUCGUGGAAAUGCAGGUUCUUAUCUAUUGGGGGCCGUUUGUGCUUGAUUAAAUCUGUGCUCAUCAAUCUCCCCAUCUACUACCUAUCUAUGUUCCCUAUGCCUGCUUCGGUUGCCUCCAUAAUUGAUCACAAACUUCGAUCCUUCCUCUGGUCUGGAAAUGAGGAAAGACACAAAAUAUGCAAUGUCAGCUGGGCCACUGUUACUCUUCCAAAACAAGCGGGUGGCCUUGGGAUUGGUCCCUUAAGGGACAAAAACACAGCUCUGCUCUUUAAAUGGUUAUGGAGGUUUGGGUCGGAGGAAUCAAGUUUGUGGAAGGAUGUGAUCAAAAGCAUCCACAUCACCAAUUGCUCUAAUCUUCUGCUGCAAGCUCCUAUUCCAGGAGCUGCAACUACAUGGUCCCGGAUUGUCAAUCAUUGUGUGAGAAAUAAUAAGCUGCAGGAUAUUGUGAAAGAGCAAUCUCUGGUUCUUAUCGGAAAUGGCAAGAAGACUAAAUUUUGGCUUGACUGCUGGCUUAAUAACCACUGUUUAGCAGAGCACUUCCCUACUCUUUUCCAAUUAUCCAAUGACAAAGCUGCCAGCAUUGCUAAAAUAGGAAUGUGGGAAGGGUAUGAGUGGAUUUGGGUUUUUUCCUAAAUACGUCCGCUACGGGGGCGCAACAUUGGCUUGCUCGAUCAGCUUUAUGCAAUCCUAUCGACUGUACUCAUGGACAAAGAUGGAGAGGAUAGACUAAUAUGGAAGGACAAUAAUUCAGGAAGAUUUUCAGUUAAAUCUCUCUGUGGAUUGUUAAGCCCAAAGCCUUCCACAAACAAUGCCUUCUCGUUUGCUGGAAUUUGGAAAGGUAUUGUCCCUCCUAAGGUAGAGAUCUUUUGCUGGAUGGCUAUCAUUAACAGAAUCAACACCCGAUGCAUGUUGGUUCGAAGGGGUAUAUUGAGUAGCUCAGAAUCAAAUUGCCCUAUCUGCCUAGUGGAGGCAGAAUCGGUGGACCAUAUCCUGCUUCAAUGCCAUAAGCAUUGGCUCAUUUGGUCCAAAAUCAUUAAGUGGUGGGGUUUAGUUUGGUGUUGCCCAAAGAGCUUCUCAGAUUUGUGGUCUCAAUGGACUUCCAUGGUGCAUGGUCAUUUUCAGAGGAAGGCGUGGCUGAUGUUGUUCUUCUCAGUGGCAUGGUCUCUUUGGCUACUUCGAAAUGAUCUGAUCUUCCAACAGAAGACACCUGACUAUGAUUCAAUAUUCUUUCUUAUUAUCACCCGUCUAUGUCUAUGGCUAAAAGCUAUCCAUUCUGAUUUCCCAUACUCCCCUUCUGAUCUGAUCAGAUCGGCAGAUGGCUUACUUCGGUGGUCCAAUGCCCACUCCUUCAGGAUUCAUAAUAUGUGGUCUCCUCCUAUGAUUAGUAGCCUCAAAUGGAACGUGGAUGGCUCGUCUCUUGGUAAGCCAGGCCCUUCUGGAAUAGGUGGUGUACUGCGAAAUCAUCAUGGACAUCUUCUCGGUAUGUUCUCUGUUCCAGUUGGUAUUUUAGACUCUAAUAUUGCUGAGUUAAGGGCUAUUGUCAAAGCCAUUGAACUUUUAGCAUCUAAUUGUCUCUUCCACCAUCAACACCUCAUCAUAGAAUCUGACUCUGUCAAUGCUAUUAGCUGGAUGAAUAAGCCUCACAACCGUCCCUGGAAGCAUCAUAAUCUGUUCUCCUCUGUUAAUAGGCUGAAAGCAUAUUUUGGUUCAAUCACCUUCUCCCAUAUCUUCCGUGAAAGUAAUUGCAUGGCAGAUUGCAUGGCUAAACAAGGAGUGCAGAGAUCAAGUGAUUUUGUUGCCUGGCUUUGACUACACUUUUUUUCUAUGGCCUUGCUCUUGUGUCUUCUCCCACUAUGUCUUUGCGUUAUUUUCGUUUUUGUUUUGUAGAGGAUUGUUUAGCUUUGAGCUCAUUCGGAUGGUUAUUCUAAGGUUUUCUUUGCUUUUGUUUUUCUUAUACUGCGCUUUAUUCUAUUUAUGGCUUUUUGUCAUAGUAAGAUAUUGUGUAGUUUCUGUACUACUCCCGCCAGGCUUUGGCGUUUAAAUAAUAUACACAUCUUUCAAAAAAAAAAAGAAAACAUGUUGUGUUCUUCGACCUGGUCCCACGAAAACGAUGACAGAAAUAGUGUCGCUCCUGAAUUACAGUGAAAGGUUCUUAAACACCAUGCAGGAAACGUGCUUCGUCUUGUGAUGGCUUCCAUUUAGCAACUCUUAUCCAAAAGGCAGGCAAGUGAAUGGACCCCAAAAAUCCCACCACUCUCAAUCUGUUCACGAGAGAUUUCUCAAAAAAACCCCUUAAAUUUUCUGCUCUUGCAAAUCACCACAGUGAUUUUUAUAUGAAUUUUUAUAUCCCCCGCCAUUACCAUUCCUUGAAAAUGCAUAUCAAUACUGAUUACGUGUAACCUCAUGGGCCAUCAAUGCAUUUUUUUCCUUUGAAAAUGCAUAUCACUGUAAUACCGCAGUCUACUUGAACUUACAAUAGUAAAGAAAUCUCUUACCACCAAAACAACUGCUCGCACAGUUGCGCUUGAACCUGUGAACAAGAGCUUACAUGUAAACCUCUUGGUUUGCAAGUUGCAACACAACCAUGGAGCAGGUUCAUGGCUAGGCUACUGUUACAUGCAUGGUGCACCGAAGCUGGCACGUAAUUGCUAUUGAAGCGAGCCAUGAGAAAAGGGUCCUCGCUCCUGACGGCGUCUCCAUGUCCCGUGCCCCAAAGAAUACAGUGACAGAAGGAGGUGUCUGAGAAAUCUCAAAGCUGUAUCUUAAAUGUCUUAUUUUCUGUCUCAUGCUGUGUGCCUAUUACAACUUCCUCUGAUUUCUGUGAUGCCCAAAUGUGCUGGUCCUAAUGUUGAGAGACAAUCAUCGGAGUGGCAACUGGUUUAGAAUCAAGCAGAUCAGCGCGAAGAAGAAGAUCUCUUAUAUACUUGAGUUGACUUAGAAAUAUUCCUGUGGCAGAGUGAGUGAAUUCCAGACCCAAGAAAUAAUUCAAGGCGCCAAGAUCUUUCAUGGAGAACUCAUGAUGUAAUUUGCGAAUGAAGGAAUCAAUGAGGGAUAUAUUGCUGCCUGUGAUGAUAAUGUCAUCAACGUAUAAGAGCAAGUAAAUAGUAUCAAGGGCUGAUGAAUAGACAAAUAAGCUGGAAUCAGCCUGACUGCUAGUGAAACCAACAGUGAGCAGGAAAUNNNNNNNNNNNNNNNNNNNNNNNNNNNNNNNNNNNNNNNNNNNNNNNNNNNNNNNNNNNNNNNNNNNNNNNNNNNNNNNNNNNNNNNNNNNNNNNNNNNNNNNNNNNNNNNNNNNNNNNNNNNNNNNNNNNNNNNNNNNNNNNNNNNNNNNNNNNNNNNNNNNNNNNNNNNNNNNNNNNNNNNNNNNNNNNNNNNNNNNNNNNNNNNNNNNNNNNNNNNNNNNNNNNNNNNNNNNNNNNNNNNNNNNNNNNNNNNNNNNNNNNNNNNNNNNNNNNNNNNNNNNNNNNNNNNNNNNNNNNNNNNNNNNNNNNNNNNNNNNNNNNNNNNNNNNNNNNNNNNNNNNNNNNNNNNNNNNNNNNNNNNNNNNNNNNNNNNNNNNNNNNNNNNNNNNNNNNNNNNNNNNNNNNNNNNNNNNNNNNNNNNNNNNNNNNNNNNNNNNNNNNNNNNNNNNNNNNNNNNNNNNNNNNNNNNNNNNNNNNNNNNNNNNNNNNNNNNNNNNNNNNNNNNNNNNNNNNNNNNNNNNNNNNNNNNNNNNNNNNNNNNNNNNGUAAUGUUUGGAUUUGGAGAUGCCUGCUUUUCCCCGAGUGAGCAUGGGAUGAGAAUUCUGUGGUGGAAUUGAUGCAAUUGGAAGUACUGGAGGUUGCACUUCCUGAGGAGCAGGAACAGAUGGUACUAAGGAUGAGGGGCUGUGAGGUGAAGACAAGUCCAAGGCACAUUUCUUGCAUGGCAUGGACGAGGUCACUGGUAAUGGAGAUGGAGGCCCUAUAGAGGAAUUAGUGACAGCUAUAGCAGGAAGGAAUGGAAUAGGAUCAUGAAAAGCAACAUAAUCUGAGAUGGCAGAGGAGUGUUGCAUGCUAGAAGAGGAAAAUGGAAAUACAGUUUCAUCAAAACGAGCAUGUCUAGUGAUAAAGACUCGAUUAGAAACAAGAUCAAGACACCAAAAUCCUUUGUAUGAAGUGUGAUAACCAAGAAAGAUGCAAGGAAGACUUCUUGGUUCAAACUUAUGCUUGGUAUAAGCACGCAGGUUCGGAAAACAUAAGCAACCAAAGAUGCGAAAGGUAGUGUAAAGAGGAGACUUACCAUACAGAAUUUCAAAAGGAGAUUUCCCACUCAAGACUAGUGUUGGCAAGCGGUUAAUAGUGAAAACAGCGGUAUUGAAGGCUUCAACCCAGAAAUGAAGAGGAACAGCAGAAUGAAACAUCAUUGUGAGGCCUGUUUCGGUGAGAUGCCUAUGUUUCCUUUCUGCCCUACCAUUUUGAGAUGGUGUAUAGGGACAUGAGAAUUGAUGAUGAAUUCCACACUUAGUAAAGUGGGUCUGUAGAUUUUUACCGAUGAAUUCCCCUCCCCCAUCACUUUGGAAAAUUUUAAUUUUCGUAGAGAAUUGAUUUUCAACCAAGGAUUGGAAGUUAAGAAACGUGGGGUAAAAAUCACUUUUGUGCUUUAAUGGAUAGAACCAAGUAUAACGGGAGUGAUCAUCUAUAAAGAUAACAUAGUAUUGGUAGCCUGAGAUGGAUUUAAUGGGAGCUGGUCCCCAAAGAUCACAGUGUAUAAGACCAAGAAUGUCAUUGGAACGACUGUCAUUUGUUGAAAAUGGUAAUGCAUGGCUUUUAGCCUUUUGACAGCUAAUGCAGAGAGGUUGAUUUGGCAAUAGAGAAGAGAGGGACAGUGAACCUUGUUUAUUAAGAAUUGAAAUUAUUGAAGAGGAGACAUGUCCUAAACGUGCAUGCCAAACUGCAAAUGAAUUACAAAGACUGGAUUUAUGGAGGACAGUAGAAAAUGCUUGGUGUCCACGCUUCAGUACAUAAAGGCCAUCAACAUGCUUGCCGCUUGCCACCACUUUUUGAGUGUGAAGAUUCUGGAUGAUGAAAUCAGUGUCAGUAAAAGAGACAGAGAAAGGAUAGUCAUGGGUGAGUUUACUGACAGAGAGCAAGUUUUUAGUCAAGUUUGGAACAACAAGAACAUCAUUUAAUUGAAGAUGGGGAGUGGGAGAACAAGAACCAGUGUAGGUGAUUGGAAGAGAAGAGCCAUUACCAACAAUACCCUUGUCCUUACCAGCGUAAGGUUCCAUUUGAUCAAGUUGAGAUGCAUCAGCUGUCAUGUGUGCUGAUGCACCCGUAUCUGUGUACCAAUCUGCAGGUGCAUCAUGAAUGGUGCAAUGAGCAAGGGCUUCAGCAAUAUUGGCAUCAGGUUUGAUAUAUUUGUUCUCAUUAGUUUUGAUAUAUCUGCGAUGACAAUCUGUUGCGUAAUGACCUUCCUUACGACAGAUUUGGCAUCUAGGAGGUCGUCUAGGCUGCUGCUUGUGACGGUAUCCUCCCUUUGAUGACCCUCCUUUAUAUUUGUGUUGGUAGUUGCUGGAAUUUCCAAAACUGGUUGAGGAUGCAGGGGAGAAAUUUGCAACAUAGGCAGGGACCCCUGUGUUAUGAUCAAUGGACUUUGAAAAAAGAUCAAAGCUUUCUGCUUUGGGAACAAUAUCUGUAAAACUGGGAAUAGGGGUUAAAGAGAGUUGAGUGAUGGAGAAGGUUGAAAACUCAUGGCCUAAACCACGUAGAUACCAAUGCACCUUAUCAGUAUCUUCAACUGGACGUCCCAUUGCUGAUAAUUGAUCACAAUGAGCUUUAAAAAUUCGAGAAUAUUCAGAGAUGCUACGAGAGCCACGCCUCAUGAGAUGAAGCUCAUCCUUAAUUUGGAGCUCACGGGCUUUAGACUUUUGGCUGAAUGUGGUUUCAAGAGAGUUCCAGACAUCUCUUGAAGUUGUAAAGCCGAUAGUAAUAGAGAGAGCUUCUUCUGUGAGAGAAGAAAGCAGAAGGCUCAUGACGAGCUGAUCCAAUUGUUUCCACAGAUUGUGAGCUGCAGGCUCAGUGGCAGCAGAUGGUAUUGGUGUUGAGCCAUCAAUAUGUCCAUACAGUUUUUGACACUGCAAUAAAGGGACCACUUGACUGCGCCAGAGAAUGAAAUUGGUGGAGGAUAAUUUGAUAGUAACCAUGUGAACCAUGGUGUUGAAGGAGAGAGUAGAAGAAGAAUUUUCUGAGGCCAUAGGAUCUAAUGGAUGUUAAUCUUACAGCUCUGAUACCAUGUAAGGUUUUGUAAACCAAUAAUUAUCAACCACACCUUGCACAUGGCGUUGGAAUAUUAUUAUAUAGGAAAAUGUUUACAACAGAAGGUGAGAGUAAUAAGGAAGUAGCUGUUACAGGAUAUACACUAUACUAUAAUUAGGAGUAAUCAGUUCCUAGAUAGACGUAUAUAAUUAACUGUAAUACAAUCAGAUGGCAUGAUCUUCUCCUGAAUGCUUGGAAAGAUUGGCAUGAUCUUCUCCAGAAGAUCAUGGGAUUGUGUUAGCGUCAAUAUGGUGCACCGAAGCUGGCACGUAAUUGCUAGUGAAGCGAGCCAUGAGAAAAGGGUCCUCGCUCCUGACGGCGUCUCCAUGUCCCGUGCCCCAAAGAAUACAGUGACAGAAGGAGGUGUCUGAGAAAUCUCAAAGCUGUAUCUUGACUAGCAAUGGUGCCUUGUCCAGAAUGUUGAUGUUCACUGUCGCACCAAAAGUGAGACCAUUGCAUUGUCAAUGAGCAACAUCCCACAACUUUAAAAUUGGUCUACAUACUGUAAAGAAGCAAGCAAGGUGGGUAACAAGGCACAGCCUAAUUGAAAGCCAAGGGUUAACUUGUUAGAUAUGAAAAUGCAUGGCCCUGAUAAGCUGGAAUUACCAAACCCACUACAGAGCCACAAGAGAUGUUCGGCUAGAGACAAUAAUUGCUUGUAUUGAUAAAACGUACAAACGAUCAUUUGGGCCCAAUUCUGCGAUCUUGUCGCCGGUUAUGGAUAAAUUGUUUUUACAAGUGGUGAUGACAAUGUGAAAAAUCUUAUAAAAUAAGUUCUUUGGUUGUAUACGAUAUUCUUUAAUACUUAAAUUAGCAAAUAUAGUGGAAUUGAAGAUGGUUUUUUUCUUUGAACAUACUCAGAAAGUAGAUGAAGACUAGUAAAGCCCUUAGUGUUGAGAAGAAAAGAUAAAGUUAUUAGAAAAAGGAGAGAGGAGAGAAAUAAUUUAUUUGGUUCCAGUCCAACCACAUAAAAAAUUUACCUUGGUGUCAAUGAAUUAUCUUUAGAGAGAGGAGUUAAUUGAAAAUGAUUUUUUUUCUUUGAACAUACUACAGAAAAUAGAUCAAGACUAGUAAAGUUGAUUUUUAUUUGGCUGGACUCAAGUUUUUAGAGUGAUUAAAGAGUGCUUUGAUAUUAGAAAUAAGUUUAUUAAGGUUCUUAUGAUGUUUUCAUGAGAAAAUAAGUUUAAAAUUGAAUUUUUAAAGCUAUAGAAAACUCAAACCCCACAUCAAAUGUGUCAGAAUUUAAACUAAAAGAUGACACAUGAUCCGCUGUGGAUUGCUAUAGAAAUUAACCUGGAUUCCUUGACUAGUAAAGAAACUAAAUUAAAAUGUUAUACCUUUGUUUCAUUUACUGUGAUAUAGAAAUAGUUGCACUGUGUAUUGCUAUAAGACAACUGUUUUUAUCCCUUAUUUUUUAUUGUUUUGGAAACAUUUAUGUGGCCUUUUUGUUCAAGAUCCCUUAACAAUUUGUUUUUCCCUUUUUUUAUUUUGUGAAUAAAAUUCUUUUUAAGUUGAUUUAUUAAAAUAAUAUUUAUGAAUCCAAUUAAGUUAUUUUUAAGAGAAUUAGAGAUUUUUAUGAUAAUAUUAGCAAUUUCUUUAAGAAUAAUUAUGUAUUAACUUAAAAUAUAUAAGUUUUAAAAUAAUAUGCUAGUUAAUAUUGAAUGAGAAUAAAAAAUCUAUUUUUUAUAUAAUUUUUUUAAAUUUAUUAUUUCUAAAUUUAUUUAUAUAGGUGUGUAAAAAUAAUUGAUUCAUAUUUAUUUUUUAUUUUUUAAUUAAAACAUGCAUUGAUGAUCAUAAUAAAUUUUGACUUAAAAACCAACUUUUUCAUAGCAAAAGUUGUUAAAGAAACCUCAUUUUCCCGACUCUUGACAAUGUUAAAAUCAUCCAUAAUCGAGUACCGGAAUUAAAAUUAGGAACAGGUGAAUACGUUAUAUAAUGGAGAAAAUUCAUAGCAUUUUUAUUCGAGUUUAUUUAAUUUAGUAGGCCAAACACAGUUCAGCUCAUUUGAGUGCAAUCGGUCAUCGAUCUCUUUCAUAGCACUCAAACGACUCAGAAGCAGAUACAAAAUCCCAUCACUCACAAGCCAGACGUGGCGUAGGAAUUGACUCAAUGAACUUGGCUGCGGCAAGGAAAGCAUUGUAGGAGGCCAAGUAGCCAGCAGGCGAAAAUCCUGGAUUUGCUUCACCUGCUACAUUGGAAGCACCUCGGAUCACGAUGAAUGGCUUUUCAUUUGAUAAAGAUGUCUGCAAAUCAAAGGACCAAUAAAUUUUAGCUAGUUAGCCGAGCACAUGAACUAGAGAAAACUUUUCUGAGUUCAAUGAAAUUAUUCCUUCUUACUAACCCAAGCUACAGCAGCGCUUUCUUGAUCGGCAGUUGAGACGUUAAAAACUUUGUGAAGGAAAUCUCCAUAUGCUUUAUUUUUAAUGUAAGAAUCAGAACUAGAGCCGUUAGUUCCAAACACAAUCUUAGGCUUGGAAGGUAGGCAAACUCCAUCGUAGCAUUGUCUCAACUCCAAAUCCUGCAUAUCACAGAAAUUAUUCAAGCGUAUGUAAUACAGUGUGUCUAUUGAUAAAGAAGAAGGAUCAAAAUUAGAUUGACAAACCUGAAGCACUUGAGUGGCAGCACUAUACCAGGAUGUGGUGCUGGGAAACCAGAAAACAUCCUGCGGUGAUUGUCCUUUAGAGAACAAUUUUAUUGUAUCAUAGUCUACGCUAGCCAACAAGUUCUCUCCGUUCACUGGAUAAUUAAACUCGCCAAAGUUCAGCGUCCCUUCAUCUGACCCGAAUUUCUGCGCCAUUGUAAAAAUUAAAGCUGGUUACGUAUAAGAUGUGUGUGUCUUAUAAUUAACAUACAACUUAAACCCAGAAAAUUAAAUUAAAUUUCUUUCAAGUCAUCCAAAUAUAUAGGGUAGAUAUAUAUUUUUUUUUCAUGGAAAAUGCUCCAUGGUAAAUUCUAGAACCAAAUAUUAUGUCCUCGAUCACCAUUGUUCACAGAGUGUGUGUGUGUGUGUGUGUCUAUAUAUAUAUAUAUAUAUAUAAAAUUACCUUCCAAUUCCAAGCUCCUGUGAAAGCAACAGCAAGCGGCACGGAAACAUCACCUGGCACUAUACUUUCUUUAUCAAGGCUCCCAGCACUACCAAAGUGAAUAAUUCCAUGAAUACGGAAUCUAUUCAAGAGGAUUUGCACAGCAAUGGCAGCAUUUACCUAAGUUUGGUUGCAGUUAGCAAUGGACAGCAACAGUGUAAUAUAUUGAAUAUUUAAAUAGUGCAAUGAAGAAACAAAGAUAAUUAUAAAGAAUCGAGGAAUCUUACAGAAUUUCCCCCGAUCUUAACAUAUACAAUAAAACGAGCAUUAAGUGUCCCAAUGUGGAACCUUCUCCCCGCAAUGUCAACAUAAGGCGUUUCAGCAUCAGGUGUGAAGAGACCAGAGUCUUGAAGGGCCUUUUCGUUGGUAUCAGAAGUUAAGACAAGACCUAAACGAGUGAAAUCAAUUUUGCAAUUGUUUGUCUCAGCAACAGGGUUUCUCAAACUCAUUUGGAAGGACUGCUGAGCCAAAACCAGCAGCCCAACCACCAUCACUACCACGUUAACGCUCGACAUUCUAGAAAUCCGAGGCGAGAGAGACGUUGUUUAGAGCAAUGCAAGUGUUUUGU